CAAGGACCCCCAGUUGGGCGACCUGUGCCCUGGGCGACCGGCGACGUGCGUUGGCCGGCGCGGGUUUUGGUGUUCGUAUUGGGAUAAAGAAGCGCGCAGCUGGCCCCCCCCCAGGAGUGGACAAUGACUUCUUUUUAAGUGCUGGGCUUGCCGCGAUGUCGGCACGCCAUGCCGCCCUUCUGGACAAAAAUUGAUUAAUUGCGUGACGUUAGAAGUCAAUGUGUGCAUGGCCGUGCUCUGGUAGCAGCGGUUACGGUGCGUCAGGUGACGGGGGGCAGUGGGGCCGCGCACCUGGUAGAGCGUUUGGUUUGGGUAAAAUAGUUGUGCAGUGAUAUUCUGUAUCUCCAGUUGCUUGCGUGAGAUUGCGUGUAUGCAAAAUAACCCAACCAAGUCUCUGCACACAUGGGCCUGUAGCCGCCGGACGGCAAUGGAACACUGGCGUCCCCGGAAGCAGUUUUGAGGGUGCGACAGGUCGGUGGAGUAGAGGUUGGCUACACGGACGAGUCAGGGAGGAGGACUUGUGCAGCGGCCGCAUGGCUCUGCUGCUAGCUGAGCGCUGGCGCCAACAUGCCCGUCAGGUAUGGACGGAGUUAACCGGGGCCAUGCGUCUAAUUCUUUAUUGGCGUGCGGUAUUGAAGUACGCAGCGUGAGCGACUGAGCCAGAUGAGUAGCCUGUGAACUCCGCGCGAGUUUCAAGCAGGGGGAGCCAGUAGGAAGCACUCGACCACUCAACGCAGCAAGGCUGCGGGCGCACGGGUGCUGUAAAUGAAGAACGAAGCCAUUGCAAGAGAACCAGCAUUGACGUCCAGGUGGAUUGCCUGGUGCAUACGUGGCGUGUGCGUGCCGGCGUAGCUUUGCUGUUGAGUCAGACUGAGUCGCCGGGCACCCGGAGCUAGCAACCAGUCCAUCACGAACACUCCCCACUUGCGCAAUAACAACACCAGAUGGUCGAACCGAUCGCCCGCACCCACAACCUUGUCGAGUGUAUAGGGCACGUCCCAUGCAGCCUUCAGCCUUGCCCGGGGGCCUGGCCUUAGUGGCCUCCCAAACUACAGGUGGCCUCCUGCCAGGCGCGCAGGACACACGGACGGCCUCUGUCCUUACACAGCCAGCAGCGGCUAACGAGGACUGCUGUUUUGCCGCGCAUGGCACAUGUGCCCAGCAUCCAGCGCAUUGAGCGCAUAUGCCUUGCGAAGAACACAUGCCGCGUACCUCACUUCAUCCUGCACACUUAGCCGAACCCAUGUAACUAGCUAGCGUCCUAAUCGGUUAGGCCGCUUCGACAGCCAUCAAACAAGAAACUGGACAAGAUUCCCCGGUCACGGGAAAAGGGGCUGAGCCCCUCAGUCUGAGGCCGAACAACCUCAUCUCCCGGCUAUCCUCAUCUCCCGGACAUAGCCAGGGUCGGUUUGUGCAGGCACCGCCCGCCAUAUGAGCCCAAUCGCGCCCAGCUAUCAAGCACUAGUGCAGCAGGCAGCAGGCCAACCAGAAUUUUCAAUUUGCUCCGCUUCGAAUCAGACAUAACGGACAUAACCUGGGUCGGUUUGUACAGGCAAGUCCCGCCAUGCAUCCAGCCACGUCCCGCUGUCAAGCAUCACAUACUGUGCUGUGCUAUGCCUGUCAGCAAAGACCGCUGACCAGACACCGGCCGGCCUCAACCUGCGCUGAGCAAGAACUUGAAAGCCUUAUGAGUUUGCAACCCUGCAUUUACGCCUACACCUCGUUGGCGCGCGCCAUCUAACAAUCUAUUCCCACCCACCCACGCAGCUGGCACGAGCAGCGCCACACGGCCUCUAACCGCCUGCCACGUCCUGCCGCCGCGGGCUCUGUGCUCAACGCGACCAACACAUCAGCGCGCCGAUGUGCCCUCCCCACCAAACGGGGCCGUACACCACCCACUCCACUCCACGCCUUCCAUCCUCUCACCCCUAUGACCCCCUAUUUCUUCUUGGCCGCCUUGGCCUUCUCGAGCUUCUUGGCCUUCUUCUUCGCCGCCUCGCGCGCCUUCUUGAACCCGCGCCAGUAGGACUGGAUCACGCGCGCCGCGUGGUUCUGGCGGACGGCCAACAGCGCCGCCUGCACAGUAGGUGGCACAGACAGCAGCAGCGGCAGGAGCGGGGCUGAUUCAUAACAGCUUGAGAUUGGCCAACGGGACAUGAAGGGCAGGGCAGCAAAGCAGCCUGCCUUGUCACCCGGGCCUGUCCCGGGCGUCGUCGCAUUCCCCUCGCCCUCUCCCACUCGCAGUGCGCCUGCACCACACCCCGGCCCACCUGGAAGCGCUGGUCCGCGAGCCGCCGCUCCCGCUCCUCGUACUCCAGCCGCUCCUGGUACAUCUCACUCCAGCCGCUGUUGUACUCCUGUCAUGCAGAGGGAGAGGGUUUCCAGGCGUGACUAGUUCGGGGAUGACGGCGUUAAGGAAUGGCGCAGCGUUGCGCUGGGUGCGGCAGUGGGACACACAUGCCCCCCAUGGGCUUUCCGGGGAUUACAUGCCGCUGAACGUGGACUGUUGCAAAGCCCAUGUUGCAAAGACCUUGUUACGCACACGCGCUCAGUUUGGUCGGUGUGGCCUGUCCUGGGCCUUCCUGCACGCGUGCACACCCGCCCACGCACCUGCAGCUGCCUGAGCACCUCCUCGUACUCGGCCCGCGCCUUGCCCAGCUCCUCCUCCUUGGCGCCCACAUCGGCAUCAUACUCGCCGAUCUGCACCUCCACGUCCUGAGGGGCCGGCCGGGACCAGGUGAGGUAGGGCGAGCGGCGCCAGCGGCAGCAUCGGAGGCAGGAGUGCAUAUCGUAGUGCCUAAUGCCACAGCAGCAUACGGACGGGAACACACCCUGCGUGCACCACCCAGCUGCUAAAGGCGCCAAAUCCCUGCCCUUCAAUAAUCAUGAAUGUAUCCCCCUCCCGCUGCCGCCAGCCCACCUGUUCCGCCCGCUUGCGUGCUUUCCGCAGCAGCGCCUCGUUGUCCUUGUGCUCCUGCCGCAGCCGGGCCAGCUCGGCGCGUGCCGCCGCCAGCUCCUUGGUCACCUGGUCCAGAUCAGACUGCAGGCGGGAGGGGCGGCGCCGGCCACAUGGGGGUCAGAGCACGUACGUCGGUGUGUGCGCCCUUGAGGUAGGGAUCUCGAGCUGCGGUGCAACCUACACCAUGCGCCAACAAGACCAAUGCGCAUUUUACUGUCCCUCGCAGCCAUUUGUCUGUUUGGCCGACUACCCUGUCCGCGCUGGCCUGCCGCCCACCUGGAAUGAUGACUUAUCCGCCUCCGACUGGGCGCGCGCCGAGCCCUCGAUGGCGGCUCGCGACUGCUGCGUGGAGCUCUGCACCUCCGACACCUCGCCACGAGCCCGGUCCUCAGAUACCUGCAGGACACGUACAAACAGAUCAGCAAAAUAACAGCUGCGUCGCUUGACACCUGGUCUAUGGGGUGCGCGGGCAAAGUGCCCCAUCCAGGUGUCAAACCCGGUGGGUAGCCGACGGUAAGUGGCAUUUCCCACGUCGCUAACUGUACAGCGGCACCGGUACGGCCUAGAACACGGCCACUUGCCGCUGCGUGAGGCGGUACGGCUCUGGUGUUCCAUCCCACUACGCACCUGAAUGGUCCCCGCCGCCUUUUGCAGCUCUACCCGCUGCAGCUUGAGCUUCUGUUUGAGCUGCUCCUGCUCCGCCACCGCUCGCUCCUCACGGUCCCGGACCUGAACCGAAUGGUAGGAUGCAUGUCAGCCUGGCAAAUUGUCGAGGCAUCGUGGCUGGCGUGCCCAUCACCGCGGCCAGGAAGGUGCGACUCGCCCUGACCGCCCUGCACGCCGCUCACCUCCUCAAAGAACUCCCUGUUGCUGCUGUCCUCCUCCACCGUGGUGGUCAGCCGCUUCUGUGCGAACUGCCUCAGCUGCGAUGCAGUGCAGGGGCCGGAAAUUGUCAGGCGCGGGUCCCUGCCAUGUCGCCGGGCGGUGACCCUGCACGGCCCAAGCACCUACCUGCUCAAAGUACUGCAGGGUCUGCAGAAUGCCGUACGUGCGUUCGUAUGGAAGCACCUGGAGCCUCUGUGCUGAGGGUGACUUCUGCAGGACACGGACAUGCACACAGCAUUGUUUGGGAGAUGUUUCAGCGCAUGCGCAGGGCUUCAUCGGUGCUAUUGACUUUGCUUGGAUUGCCGGCUGUGAGGGCGCAUGACGCUUAGACACGCACGCCACGCCCUGCCUUCACGCAAUCCAAGCCCCAGGUCCACCGCUAUCCCCUUCCCUUGUUUUACAGCUGCCACGUAACACCCCAUGGAAGCCUUGCCUUCAGCAGGCGCACGAGCUCCAGUGUGGAAGCCUGCACCUGGUCGUUGUUGAGGGUGGACUUUGCCGACUGAAUCAGCUGUCGGUGCUUGAUGAGGGCGUUCGCCAGAUCCUGCAGCACCGGAAAUGCCCAAAUCCAAUGCUGUCACUUCGCAAACCACGCGCGGACGCAUGUCAUUUUUGCGCACCUCGCCGAGCAUGUCCCGCAGCUGUUCCGCCGUAUCAAGGACAUCUUGUGUUACAUAUGAAAUCAGCCUACACACACGGGCGUGUAGUUAGAAACCUUCUGCGAGCACGCAUGCCGCGGGAGCGGCACCCUCAAGCAGCGCAUCAGGCAAUCUUGGUACCUGAUUCCCUCUAGAGCCUCGUCGAGGACGCUAAGGACGCGCCCUGCCUCCAGCGAGUUCAUGGCUAGGUGCAAUCGUUCAGCGUGAGGCACUCGAAGACUGGGGGCACCAAAUGCAAUUAUCCAGUAGUGUGCAAGUUUAAUGAUAAUAUGUUCAAUCGACCAAUCCGCGGUUUCUGUUGACGGGCUUCCGACAGUAAGGGGAUGGGCAACGCGCCGGUUCCCACGGACCACGGUUCCCACACGUUCCCACACACCCUGCCGCCUGAGAAACCUCCCGAUAUCGAGACGCACUGCCUAUGCUAUGCUCGCCAACAAAGACCGCAAACCAGCCACCGGCCGGUCUCAACCUGCGUGCCGGCGCCGCUUUUGGGGCCGCGCCGCGCUCUCCUCCACGUGGCCUUGCCUGCCCUCUCUGAGUGCAGGGCCACAGGCUGCCUGGCUGCGGUCUACCAUGCAGCAUCUGCAUCAGCGCGUGCUGCGCGUUUGUCACUGAGUUUGGAGGAGGCUGAGAAGCUGAGACAAGGACACGAGGCACGCCGCAGAUUCAACCGGCCAACCGUGCUGGCGCAGCGUGAGGCGCAGUGGACAGCAAAAGGCAGCGCUUUGAGAGCUAUGGGUGAUACACAGGGGUGAUGGCUGAUGAAUGAAGAGGUUAUCAGUGUCUGUGCAAGUACGGGGCUAUGGUCUGGGGCUGCUAGAGGCUGCUGGUGGCUUUGUUGCUGAAGGGAGACCCAACAGCUCUCGAGUCUCGACGUCCAUCCUCGACUCAAGCUCCCAGCGUGCCGGUGCCGCACAGAGUCCAACCUGCUUGAACCAUGUGUGUCGUCUCCGUUACGAGGUUUGUACUGGGAUACCACUAUAUGUAUGCGGCAUUACAAUAAGGGACAGUCCGACCAAGCAAGGGUAAUAACCCAGCACCAUCAAACUGCAAUGUCUUGGGGGGUUCAGGUUCAGGUUCAGGUUCAGGUUCAGGUUCAGGUUCAGGUUCAGGUUCAGGUUCAGGUUCAGGUUCAGGUUCAGGUUCAGGUUCAGGUUCAGGUUCAGGUUCAGGUUCAGGGCCAUGCAUCGUUUCCCCGCACACUCGCACACCCGGACCUCAAGCUCAUACCGUAAUACGCAAACACAUGGCCGCGGUAUCAACCCGGCCUAAAGUCUUCACAGAACCACAAAGUCAAACUUGUUGUCUCUCAUGCGUCCUCUGCCACCACCGUCUGCUCCUCUGCCCCCGGCGCCGGUGCCUGCUCCUCCUAUCCGCCGCCGCCGCUGCCACCACCGCCUGCUGUCGUGCCGUGACAGUGACCUGCACCAUUGCACACAGCCACGCCACCGCCACCACGGCCGGGUCCCGCGCCGCCGUCUGCUUGAGCAGCUCCACCUCAGCUGCCGUCGGGGCACCACCGCCGCCACCCGCCGCCGCCGGGGAACCGCCACCGCCACCCGCCGCCGGCUGGUGGCAGAGCCGCAGAGGUACUGCGGCCGGGGUGCGCCGUAGUACUGGUGCUGCAGCAGCCUCAGCGUGUUGCGCGCCGCCUGCAUGUCCCGGUCGCGCAGGUGCUCCGCCCUGCCCUCUGCCCGACCACACUCCUUGCAUGAGCGGAUGCGCCUACUGCGGAGCCGCUCCAACCGGGCCACAGCCCAGAUGCGCUGCCCGCCCUUGCGCACCGCCGGCUUGUGCACCAGCGCCGCCUAUGUCACCGCCCCGCAUGCGCAGCAGCACAGCAACGUGCGGUGCUCCCAUAUGUCGUGCAGCUCCACGUGCCGCCGUCCACGUCCGCGCUCCAGCUUGAUGGCGCGGAUGAGCGCGGUGUGCAGUGCUGUGGUCGGCGCCGACAGCUGCCCGCGGCUGUUUGGGCUGAAGCCCGCGCUGCCCAGGCCAAUCACCAAGGGCCGCUCCACGGGCCCAGAGCACGUUGCCGCCCGUAUCAGGCUCGCCGCCACGCGGUCGAGGGCUCCACGCUUGCGGCGGAACAGCCACAUCCGCUGCAGCUGGUAGCCUGGCUGCAUGCAGCAGGUACUCCUGUCGCAGCGUGGCCUCGUGCUGCCGCUCAGCCUGCAGCGUGUCGCGCCACUUGGAUGCCACGCCGUUGUGCAGGCCGCCAGCUGCCGACAGCGCGUUCAAGGCAGCACGCACAGCUGGCUGGCUGGCGCGCCCCUCGCUCCACGUCCUGCUCAGGGCCAUCCCCAUGUCCCGGUAGAACGCCCGCGAGGGAACGUCCAGGUGGUCGCUCGGCCGCUGGAUGCCGCGCUUGCUGAUGGCUGCCACCACUGGCUUGGCGCGGCCCGUGUCGAUGCCGACCAUGAUGGGCUCCACCCCCGCGCGGUGCUCAGUGCCACCUCUACUGCUGGCAGCUGCAAUGCUGCAUGUAACCCAACCUUAGCAGCCUGUCUGCGGAGCCCAGUCGCUGCAGCCGCUGCUGCUGCAGCCUCCGCCUUUGACGCGAACGGCCUGACAUGCGGCGGCAUGUGUAUGGGCGUUUUGAAGGUCAUCCGGAGGCCCACCCCGUCGUCCGUAUGGAAGGACUGUAAGCGGGCGUCUGGGUCCAGCCGUAUGAUACCCAGCCGCUGCGCCCGUGCCGCCAGCUGCUCACCCCGCAAUGUUGAGCCGCACUGCUGUCGUGCUGCACCAGCUGCGGCCAGGAGCUGCGGCCGGAUGUGCUUGCGGUUCUGCUGGCUAAACCGGCGCAGCACAUCCGGUGCGUGUAAACCCAAUCUUCUCCCCCACAUACGGUGAGGCGCCCAGCACGCCGCUGCCGCCGCCGCCGCCGCCGGGCGCCGCUUGCUGGUGGUGCGGCGCGCCCAAGCCGCCGCCGGCGCUGCCCAGCACGCCGCUACCGCCGCCGCCGCCACCAGUGUCCCGGAACUGAGGCUGCAGGUCAAGGGCUUCCAAGAUGCGCAGAUCCACGGUGGCGUACUUGAGGCCGUAGCUGGCAACUGGGGUGUAGGACCGAUCGGUGAUGCCGUUACGCGCGGGGAAGAAGGACAGCGCGCACAGCUGCUCCGUGAAUAGUGGGUGGCGCGGCGGGAAGCCAACUGUAUCGCCUGCCCCUGCAGCGUCGCGGAGGCUUAGGACCGUGGCGUAGUCGGCGGGGUGGGCAAUCCGCUGCAGCUCCGAGUCCAGCUGCCCCAGCACGCAGCGGGUGAGCAGCGGCCGGUACAACUCAUCGUGCAGCUCCACCACCGCCGGGUAUCGCCGGGUACUUGAGGAUACGGGCACGAACCCCCAUGCCAUUCAUGCAACCUUCACCCCCAUGCACGCUCUGGGUUUGCCGGUUUGGGACUUACGCCGCUCACUUGCUAUGUUAUCUAUGUUUGUUCACGGCAACGUGCUUUACACUGUCACCACUGUCAUUUAGUCGGCAAUGACAAACCCUCGCAGCGUCUGUGUCUGAGCGAAUUUAUUGCUGUAACUCUUAGCGGUUGCUUGCAAUGUCCGUGGUAGCACGGUGAUGUUAGGGUUGAAAAAAUACUUCAAAAAAUUUAAGCGGCUUGUGGGCAAGGCAACCUCGGGCGAGUCUCAGGCCUCGGCAGUGAAACAGGCGCAUGGGCUUGGUGAGCCCGGUGCAGGCUCUGUAAAGCCCGCCCAGCUCCCAGGUAAAGCAAGUUCCUGCUGCCGGCUCGGAGCCCCACUUGAGUUGGCGCGCUGGGAGUUGCUGCACCCCUUGGUGCAAUAGUUCUUGCCUUAAGACAUUUUCUUUUCACUCUCUCUGCAGCUGCCCAGCCUGCACUGAACACGGAGGUGGUGAAGACAGAGAAGCAAAUGGCAGCCGAGCCUGCCAAACCCGCCAAAUGGGCAGAGGCAUGCCCUUCGUAUGCGGCCAAAUCAGUCGUGGGGCAGCGUAUGACCAUGGAGGACAGGUGAGUGCCCAGGUUCGCGGUCUCGGAGCGCAUGCCAAAGCUGAGCGUGGUUUGGUCUUAUUUUGCAGCUGGCAAGCUGUGCCGGAUCUUGUCGUCAUUCCCAAGUGGUGGACGUGCAACGCGGGGGACCACUUGCCCCCGAAUGUGCCGAAGGCCGGGGAAUCUGCUGCCGAGCCGCCCGUGGGUGAUGCAGGUGCAACAGCAAUUCCAACUGAGGGAAACGCAUCUAGCUCAGCACCUGGGUCGGGCAAACCGGAGGACGCUGCGAGCUCAGCCACCCCCGCAACCGACUGCUCGCCGAGCUCUGCGGCCGCGGCGGCAGAUCCAAAGCAGCUGGCAGCGCAGCAUGGGACAGAUCCAGUGACUGUGCACUUCUUCGCGGUCUAUGAUGGGCAUGGAGGUAAGCUGCCGCCUGACGGCUGAGGACAUGGUCAAUGGUGGAUGGCAAUGCCCUUGCUCGCGGGGGCGGUGUGCGGCAGAUCACAGACCCUCCUUCUCGGCGCAGGUCCUGACGUCGCGAAACACUGUGCGAAGAGCCUGCACGAGAACCUGCGCUCGGUAGUGACGGCGAGUGUAACGGCAGAGGGCCAGCCGGCGUCCGCGCCGCUGCCGACGCCGUCGUCGGCCCCGGCUGGCCUCGCGAGCAGCUCAGCGGAGGCUGCGGGCGCAGCGCCGGCACCCGACGCGCCGGCUGCAGCGGAGACGUGGCCUUUGCGCGUUGACGGCAUUGAGGCGGCGCUUAAGGCAGCCUUCCUGCAUACGGACUCGCAGCUGGCACAAACUCGCAGCGCUCACGAAGUUGGGACAACGGCCGUAGUGUCCCUGGUGACCACCAGGCACCUGUGGGUUGGGAAUUGCGGUGAGUCGCGACACAAAGUGUGAGUGAGGCGCAUGCAUGCGCUCAAAACACCAGCUUGGGCUCUAUCAUGACCUCACCGUGGCUAUGCGUAGGCGAUUCUCGCGCGCUGCUUUGCCGGGAGCAGGAGGCUAUUGCCCUGAGCCUGGACCACAAGGCCACGCGCUCGGACGAAGUGGUAAGUGCUCAGCAUGUUGACGGGUCUGCUGGUGCGCUUGGCGAGAUCCAGUCCCGACCCCACCUUGACGACAUGCCCGUCCUGUCGUGCCGCAGUCACGUGUGGAGCAGGCGGGCGGCUAUGUGUGGUGGGACCGGGUCAUGGGCGAGCUGGCGGUCAGUAGAGCCAUCGGGGACCACUGCUUGCGGCCUUUCGUCAUUGCGGAGCCGGAGGUGGGUCACAACUGUAUGUCGCCAUUUAUUUCGCCUGUUGGGAAUCAGGUGGUGGUGAUACGGUCAGCUGCUUUUCCUUCAUUCUUAAGCUGCGUCUUUGUGACCAUCCCAGAUCACGUCGGUGCUGCGCCGGCCGGAGGACACGCUGCUCGUCAUGGCCAGCGACGGUCUGUGGGUGAGCGGGGCGGACAAGUUUCACUGCAGAAACCCGGCGGUGCAUGGUCGUGGAGUGCGGUCCUUUGCCAGUCCUUCACUUGCUGAAUGCCUGGGCCCCGGCGUCUGUGGUGUGCAGGAUGUGUUCACGAACGAGGAGGCGCGCACGCUGGCGCUGGAGAAGUUCAACGGGGAGCUGACCCGCACCUCCAGCAGUAAGAUGGCGGUGAAGAAGGCGGCCAGCUCGCUGGCCAAGGCGGCGCUGGCCAAGGGCUCGCGCGACAACGUGACGGUGGUCGUGGUGGACCUGCGCCAGCCGGGAGGCGCGGGGCACCAUGCCACAGCCCGUGCCAGCGGGGCUGCGACACCCAAUCCGGGUGCAACGGCCGCGGGAUCAGGGCCGACCAUGACAGCUGCCGGGCCGCCGGCCGCCAGUGCGGCACCAGCGCAACCGAAGCAGCAGCCGGCUUCCCCGGUGACGCCCGAGGUAGUGUCGGACGCGGACGACUAAGAAAGUAGCGCGCGGUGUGGCGUUUGCUGCUUUGUGUCGAUCAUGUGUCUAUCAUGAAGUUGCAACGGUCUUCUCGGCCUUUCGUGUGCCGCCUCGCUCUGCUCGGCAAGCCGUAUGUCCAUGUGGUGCCAGGAAUACCACCGGACCCCCUGCGUGUGUCCUUGUUCUUUGUUUGUUGUGUUUGUCGGAAAGUGUGGUGGAAGAGUGGCUUGCUCUUUGUUGGAACGACUGGGCAGGCGGCCGGAGGCCACGGGCUGCCGGCGGGGAAACCUGACACUAGAAGUAAUAACUCGGCUGGUUUGUUUCCGAAGAAGCCAUGUUGUUUUGCAUGAUGUGCAGAGUCAAGCGGGUUUAUUCCCCUGUCAUGUAGAAGCGGAAGGAAGCUCACAGUGCAGGUGACGAUAAGCGAGGCAAUAGGAUUCACCGUACUUGGCAAUGAAGGAUUGGUGUUACGCGUUGGGGCGGUUGGGCUUGCUGGCCUUGCACGCUCAAGCGUUUGUGGAAACCCGAACCAGGCAGUGCGCGCCAUAUGGGCGAUGGUACCGAACGUGUUACAGGUCCUGGCGCUGCCUGUACUGUAUGUGUCUUCGUUGGAUGGAGUGCCUGGGUGCACGUGAAGCCGCGGGCCGAUGGCUGAUAGCGGAGGAGGGUCAGGAAUGCGGGGCGACCGUUGCGAAGCCCCUUAAGUGGCUAGAAGGCCCUGUGUGUAAUGCACACGAUAUCGCUCACGUCCACGGUCCACCUGGCAGCAUUUACCAGCAAGCGGAUGGUUAAAGGGGGGGGGUGUACAAUAUUUCGGUUUACUCCAAACCCAACUAAACCAGACCCCGCCAGCCCACAGAGCGCGAGGGAGAUGUGGCCUUCACGUUUGUCUGGGACACCCUUGAGCCUUGUCUUGCUGGGCGUGUGAUGGGACAGGGUUCAGGCAGGUUGGCAAGGUCCCAUAGGGUGCAGCUGACGCCCAUACCCCAAGCAGACAGCAAACAGUUUGCAGCGGCAGCGCAGGAGUGCAUGGCUGGUCGAACGCCGAAGUUACUGUACCGACAAGUUGCUGGCUGGCUGGAAGUUUGCUGAUGCGGAUUCCUCACACCUUGUCUUGCUGGGCGGUGUAGACAGUAGGCUGUGGACCAGCGACUCGCUUACCGUCGAGACGUCGAGUGGCACCCAGGCUCACGGCGAGCGGGAACCCAACCCGCUUAGAGCAAACAGAGCGCACCACGGGGGGGGGGGGUGUUGUUGUUGUUGUAGAUAGUAGAUACCAGCCCAAACUGAACCCAAUGCAAAAGAGCGAGGAGGAGAGCGUGGCCUAUGCUUGGACAACGGAGUGCACUCGACAUAAGUCCCCAUCCCCGAAAUGCACGGAGUUCCCAGCUUCCCAGCACACCAUCCCGCACACCAUUACAGAGAAGGCGAUGAGCACCUCGGUCUUGCAUGUGCAAUUUCUGGGCCGCCAAGUUGGGGUGUCGGUCGUCGUCCUGGGGGUCCAACGGCGCUUUCGGGAGCCCAUCCUGGCGGAUAUCGGGAAGCGCCCCACAAGCAGAAGUACAGGCCAAACGCAGCACCACGAGGCUCAGGUAUGUCGUUAUGCCGUAAUAAGCCCAAGCAAAGCGUGGGUGGGCCAACUUGCGCGUCCUGGCGUGGGCAUGUCGGCACAUGUCCCAGAUUUGACACAAGCGCACUUACAUCUGAAGCACUUGUGCGCUUGAAUCCAUGUCCAAUAAGGCUGAAGAUGCAGGCUAUCCAUCCAUACAUCACAUGGCUUAGCGUUGAACGGGGGGUGGGCUGGGUCGAGGGGACUUUGAUGGACAGAAUCCCGCGUGUGAUCGACACCUCGCAGCAGGACCGCUGAUGGCACAGCAUUAUAGUGCUCAUCAAGAGGAGUCGAUUGGCACAACUUUGGUAUUAGAUGGAGGGGUUCUAACCCCUAAACAGCAAGGUUUUGUCCGUUGGAGGUUGGUCACAGUUGGUCGCCCCCUCAACUUGGGGCCUGGGGUCUGGCACAUUGUUUCCUAUUGCUCCUAGGUUAACGGCCGGUACCCUUGUCUUCAAACCGGAAGUACCGGACGCCUCGCUUGGGGGGCUCCCUUCCUAGUCAGGCUAGUGUGUCAGACCCGGUCCGCUCUGCACUGUGCGCUUGCGCUUGUGCGACGCAUGCGACGCUGGCGCCUUCAGCUGCCUUCAGCAAGUCCGUGUCGCUGGAGGAGCCUAGGGAGGAGCACAAGCGGUGCCGGAAGAUGGGCGUCUUUGUGCUCUGUGGUGCGACAGCGGCCAGGUACGACGCUUCACGCAUGCACUGCAGGGCGUAGUCAGCGCUAGUGAAACCGACUGGCCCGGACCGUUGAGGAUGCCCCAAGAUAUGCAAAUUCUUAUCAUUCACCAUACAGCAUCAGCUAUGUGCAAGCUGCUGCGACUGCGGGGAUGGUCGGAAGUGCGCUGAGUGGACGGUGCCUGUGCACAAUUUCUUCGGAUUCGUGCGGUGGGCUCAUAAGAUCAUUGCUGGAGCCAAGGAAGUCAAUUCGCUCGGACCUCGUUCACGACCUUGUUUGUUCUGAUAUACAGCAUAACAAUAUGGCCACCAAGUGCGUAAGCGGGUUCCAUGGCAAGUCGUUGCACAAAAAACGGCUCGCGCUGACGCGCUUUGCCAUGGAUUUUAUGUAGGAGUCACGCCCCAGUUCCUUGCCCAGUCCACCCGACGGCAAACGUCACCCAGGUGCGGCGGCGAUUCGGAUUUUCAUUCAGCGCAGCUUGCAGACAGGCUCCCCGUUACGACGUUUGUUCCUCUGCACACGAAACUUCACAUCAAUGCCAGGCAAUUAAAGCUGCUCUGGAUGAGGAUGCCGGGGACCGUGGCGACGUCACGACGCUAGCAACGCAAGUGCGGGGCAAGGGGGGCACCGACGGCCAGGGAGGAGGUGGGGUUUGUCCCCUGCUGAAUGGAAGCCACUGGAGGGGAUGUGGAGUUGGAGUGGCACGGCAGUCUCACACUGGUGUGCCUGCAUCGCCAGCUUGGCACGGGCUAUAACUGGCUUGCUCAGCCUGACUGCAGUCCAAGCUCCUGCGCCAAUCACACUCUGCAGGAUCCCCGAGUCAACACAAGCGACAGCGACGUUUCUUGCAAAAGCAGAUGGUGUCCUUGCCGGCCUGGGCGUUGCGGAUGAGGUGUUGGCGAUAGUGGACCCCACCGUAAAGGUGGGUCUGCGGCUGGUUCAGCUCGGAGCUCGGGCCUGUGAUUGACCCUACCCUAAUGCGCACCGCAAUACUACGCCCGGUUUGCAGGUGGAGUGGCGGGCGUGUGACGGCGACAAGGUGGUCAGCGGGCAGGUGCUGGGGGUGCUGCACGGCUCGGCUCGCUCCAUCCUGGUGGCGGAGCGCAUCAUGCUCAACUUCAUGCAGGUGUGCGGGCGGGAGCCUGGAGAUGGAGGGGGCGGGACGGCGCACAGGGGACACGCGGCGUGCAUGGCCAGGCCACCGCAGCUGCCAACUGCGCCAAGUUCUAGUCGGUCACGGGCGCUAGUGCGUGGGCGUAUUACUGGCUACUGGGGAUGGCAGGCUUUGGUGUUUGUAUUUGUGCUAAGGGCUGUUAUUCCUUGUGCGGUGUUGAUUACAGAGGAUGAGCGGUAUAGCUACCGCCACCGCCGCCAUGGUGGCUGCUCUGGAGGGACUGCCCACAAAGGUGCUGGAGACGCGCAAGACGGCGCCAGGUGCGGGCGACGCGCAUGGCAGGAGAGAGUGGGUGCGGCAGAGAAACUGCGCAAGGCGACGUAGCUCUCACCUUCCUUGCACAAACGAUGUGCUGUUGUUCUCCGGUGACACGAAUGGAUACAUGCCUUCAACACUGGCCCCGCGCCGCUCGCGUGCACGGCGCCGCUCACAUUGCCGGGCGAGGAGCGGUGGCGGCGACUCUUGUGUUCUGUGCGCUGUGCACACACACACACACACACACACACACACACACACACACACACACACACACACACACACACAUACACACACACACACACACACACACACACACACACACACACGCGCGCGCGUGCAGGCCUUCGCCUGACCGACAAGUGGGCUGUGCUGAUUGGCGGCGGCAGCAACCACCGCAUGGGGCUGUACGACAUGAUGAUGAUCAAGGACAACCACAUCGCGGCGGCAGGCGGCAUCCGGGCGGCGGUGCAGCGGGCUGAGGAGUACAUCCGGUGGGUGUGUUGUCCGGGCGGGCUGGUUCUGAUGGCUGGUGGUCUACUUGGUGCUCCAGAGUGGGCACGCCAGGAAGUGAGCGCUGAUCAGGCAACAGCAGGAUUUGCACGCGCCACGCUCGGGAGUCCGAAGUGAUGCGAUUUUCAUCAUGAAACAUACGCUAACUUGCCGCAACGUGCUGCCCGCAUCUCUUUAAUUAGGUCUGCCGACUUGGAAGGCCGCAUGUGUAUCGAGGUGGAGACCAGCACCCUGGCCGAGGUGGACGAGGUGGUGGAGCUGCUGCAGGCGGCGCGGCAGGACGGCGCCCCGCGCAGCCACCUGACCCGGGUGAUGCUGGACAAUAUGGCGCGGAGGGACCCGGCCAAGGAGGGCGGCGUGGAUGUGUCGCUCAUGGCCGAGGUGCGAGUGCAAGGGGGUACGGGUGACGGGUGUGGGGCGGGGCCCAGGGGGUAUAAGUGGAGCGCACAACGUGCACUGCACACGCUGCCGCUUAGUUAAGUCAGUGAGGCUUUGUACUUGCUUUAUGGUGCCAAUGUCCCGGCCACUCCAAGCAUUGCCCCCGCACAUGCCCCGCAGGCUGUGGGCCGCAUUGGCGACCUGGCGGAGACGGAGGGCAGCGGCAACGUGUCGCUCAACAGCAUACGCACCAUCGCGGCCACUGGGGUCACGUUCGUCAGCGUGGGCGCCCUGACGCACUCGGUCAUUGCUCUGGACAUUUCUCUCAAGAUUAAGACGUUAUAGGGCCAAGGUGCAUGCAUGCCUGGGGAGGCGCAGUCAUAGAGACAGUCCCGGUCCGCAGCUCUUGGAUACGGCGAUGGGCCAGCAGGUGGUCAGCAGCAGGGCGCGGUGGCGGCGGUGCCGAGGUGCGACGCGUUGUUGGGCUCAAUAUAUGUGCAUGUGGUGGCGUAUUUCAUAACUGAACUGCGAAGAAGACAAUAAGUUCUACAAACCCGGUACACAAGGGGCUGAGACGUUGAGGUUCGGUUGCUUCGGUAUGGACAAGCCGACUUGGUUGGGGGAGUGCCGUAUUGCUGGUCACAUGGUGUGUGCCUAGUGCUAUCGCCUGGCCGGGCACCCUUGCGGGCACCCCAAGCGUGAGGAAUGCGUGUCAACAAACUACCGUAUCAGCCUGCCAGCAAGCCAGCGACGCUUCGAUACAGUAACUCCGUCGUCCUACCAGCUACGCACUCAUGCGCGAAGUCGCAACUUAUUGUAACAUUGAAUGUUGGGGUCUGACAAGAUGUCUUCCCUCGCAUGGGAAACGUGGGCUGAGCCUCAUCUCCUGGACAUAGCCGAUGUCGGUUCGUACAGGCACGGCCCGCCAUAAUGUGUCCAGCCACCCGGUCACCAUCACCAUGUGUCCAGCCACCUGCAGCCAUGUCCCGCUGUCAAGCACAAGCACCGCCAGCAAUGAACCAAAUCAGGAAAUCUAAUAAUCCUGCCUGCAGUUUGGUAGCAUGGUUGGGUAGGCACAACUGGAAUGUACCGUAUUCCCACACGACAGACUGGAGCGGGAUCGGGUGGUUCAGGUAUCGGUAUUGCAUACCGGCUGUGCUACACUGAUGUCCUGCAGCACCGGGCUGCAAACGCCGCUGCUACUGCUGCUGACUCUGGCGACGAACACACGAACACAUGAAACGAGGCACACCGCACAGCCACCUUGUGACCCAAGGCCAACUCCAAUAGGAGUUUCACAAUUCCCAGGUGAAUGUUGAAGCAUUAAUAACAGUAAGGAGCGAGCCUUGGGAGCACAGCGAAGCGGAACACCCAAUACCCAACGCACAAGCACGGCCAAGCUUGCUUGCAACCAGGCGCGCCGGCACGUGCCGCCACACACCUGUCGCAAGCUACCCCAUGGAUCCCGCAGACUCCCAAAGUGGUUUGCCGGUGUCCCCAUUCCCCUCGCAGUCACCGUAAAACCUGGACUCCAUUUUCGUGCCCGCGGCGACAAGGUAUGUGGUUUCCCUCGCAUGGGAAAAGUGGGCUGCGCCCACGCCACGUCUCUAGUCUGAGGCCGCAAGCGUCUACCUCAUCUCCCGGACAUAGCCGGGGAGCUCAGCCCCAAAAUGAGCGGCGGGGAAGACUCGGGGCAGUUCUGUGCCGCAGUUCCCCGGCAGCACACAUGACAAGUUGCACCUGCUCUUGUGUGUGGCGCUGCCUACCGAGCUGCCGGCCCAGUUGCAGACUGCUGCCCCUCAUUCAUGCACCUAUGAUGUCCCACACGUCGCCAAGCGUGUUGACUGUUGCCCCAGCUGCAGGCGGCUGUGGCAGCAUAUUGGCAGCGGCCGCGGCCUGCGCUGCCACGUGCGCGUAGUACUGCUGGCCCAUUGCCGCCGCCGCCGCCGUCGCGGCCGCGGCCGCUGCUGCUGCGUGCGGAGUUGGCCCCGGGACAGGUACGGCCCACUGUGCAGCUGCGGGCGCCGCGGCGGCCGCCUGCCCAGACCACGUGCCUUGGAGCCCGCCGCCCUGUACACCUCCCGCUGCCGCCCAUGCAUGCGCAUGGCCGAAUGCCCGUUGCUGCCUGUACUGCAGCUGCUGCAACUGCUGCUGCUGUAGCCCCUGCAGCCGCUGCUGUUGCUGCUGUUGCUGCACGACGUGCUGCUGGCGGCCGCCCUGCGCCGGGUCGCGCUGUGCGGCCGUGUGCGCCGCUGUGCCCGCUGGCUGCCGCGCCGCCGGUGGCGGCGGCGGUGGCGCGGGCGGCGGCGGCGGCGGGGGUGGCGGUGGCUGCCUGGUGGGCGCCACGAUCUGCCCCGCCCUGCGGCUGUAGGCCUUGAGCUGCUCCACCAGCCAGGCCAGGUGCUGCGGGGUGGUGGUGGCGGGGCCCAGCAGGGCGCGCUCCACCUGCUGGGGCGGCGGGAUACCCACAGCGCGCAGCUGCGACGCCGCCGAGCAGGCCACCGUGUGCAGUGCCAGCUCUCGCGGCUCGUCCACCGCCAGCUCCAGCAGCGGCACCUGGUCCGAGUCCACGCUGUAGGUGGUGUCCAGCUGCAGCCCCUCGUACUCAUACAACAUGGCGCACGUGCGGUGCUGCCCGCUGCUCUCAGGCCCCACCUCGCGCCAGCCGCGCACCAGGAUGGGCACCACGGCCUGCCCGUCGCCCUGCGCGUCGUCCGCGGCGCCCAGCACCUCGGCGGGCAUAGCAGCGGCCGGCUGUUGAGGCUGCUGCAGAGGCUGCUGCUGUUGAGGUUGCUGCUGCGCCCCAACAGCGAUCUGCGGCACAGCGCCCCCCGCUGCGUAAACCGCCUGCUGUUGCUGCCGCGGUGGUGGCGGAGCCUGUGCCGCCACAGCCGCCUGUUGCGGAGCAGCGGGCCCAGGGAAUGCCGCCCGCUGCUGUCGCGGGUGCUGCAGAAGGUACUGCAAGUAUUGAUGCUGCUGAAUCAGCGCUUGCUGUUGCUGUAGAAAAUGAGCUUGCUGCAGCAAACUGAGACCCAGGGGCACUGACUGCGGCUGUAUCUGCUGAUUUGGCGGCUGCGGCGGUUGGUCUGGCGACGCUCGGGUGACCUGCUGCUGCUGCUGCUGUGCGUGGUGAGGCUGCAAUUGCGGCGACGCCGUCCUUGUUGUUCGUGCUGGCGCCGCGUGCAUGCCCACCUGCGCUGCUGGGCGGGGCGGCUGGUGGAUCACGUGGGCGACCGACCGCUCGGCGCGUAGGGGCUCUGCCUGGCGUGGUGCCGAUGCCCCACAUGAUCCUGGACUCGGGCCCGGACCCGCCGCGGCUGGCUGCCACCCGUCCGCCACAGCCAUAGCUCCGCCAGCCGUCGCGAGCACAGGCACACUUUGCUGCGAUGGCGCGUUCAUGCGUGCCUGCGCCUGCUGCUGCACCUGACCCGGACGCCCUUCCUCGGCUUCCUCCUGCGCCGCCUGCUGCUGCUGCUGACGGCGCCUGAGCCGCGCCUCCUCCAGCACCUCGUCCCAGGCCGCCGCCAGCCGGGCGGUGUCCGGGCAGCGCAUGCCGGGCAGCUGCAGCGCCGACGGCCAGGCGGGGCUGAAUAGCAUCUUGCAGCACACCUACAGCAGAGGGGGUCGGGUGAAGCAGAGCCGCGGGUAGACAGGCGAAUGCAGCAGCUGAAGCAGGCAAUGAUUGCGGCCACACCGUAAAGGCUCCGCCACAUGUCGGUACCGCAGCCCAACCCGUCACCCACCCACCCACCCACCCACCCACCCACCCACCCACCCACCCACCCACCCACCCACCCACCCACCCACCCACCGCACUACUAUCAUACCUCGAGCACGCUCUGUUGGCGUUGAUGGCCUGUCAUUGACUGCAUGGUCGCCGUCAGAACGGAAAGCCACACCACGCCCUCCCACCACUCUUCAGUGCGGAAGCAGCACCUCGCGGCCCAGUACAGCUCCAGCAGCUGAGCCAGGGCCGGACCGACGUCCCGGGCACGCCGGCGGUUGCUCGCCUCACUCUCUGAUGAGCCCGCCAGUCCAUCUGUUCUUGCCGUCUCUGCCGCCAGCGCCGCCGCCACACCGAACAGCCCCUUCAGUCGCCGCACCGCCGUGCAGGCUGACUGGGCCCGCAACCUGUCCGCGUCCUGAGGCUGCUGACCUGGCUGCUGCUCCGGCUGCGGGGCUUGCUGCUCCACCGCCGUGGCCAGCCUGAUCAGCUGUGUGAGCGUGGCCGCCCAGCCCUGCAAGGACGCACAGAGCCGCACACACCGACAAACAUACAAAACUUUAACAGGCUUGCCUUAUGCAGUAACAGAAAGGAUAGAAAUCGCACAUAUCAUCAAUGAAUGUCGCCGUUAAUCCCGCGCAAUGCGUCAGCAGUCGCGGCUACAUACACUGCCCUCACCUGAGCUGCAACUCUAGCGGACACCUGCUCGAGCAGCGGCAUGGCAGCUCGCCGGAGUUCAAACUCCUCCAGGGCCCGCAGCAGCACUGGAUCCAGCGCCUGCACCAGCACCAGCACACGUGACGCCCCGUCGGCUGCGGCCGGCGCAGCCGCGUCGUGGCCGUCAGGCACCGCCUCCAGCUGCGCCUGCUCCUGCGGCGGCUGGGUCUGCGGCGCGUGGUCCUGAUGCUCCUGGCAAGGCUGCGUCGGCGCCUGCUCGGCCGUCGUGCACUGCUGCUGGGGCCGGUAGCACACGCCUGGCUGGGGCUGCGGCAGGGGCGCCAGCAGCUCGUGUGCGUCCAGCAGCUGCCGCAACAGCUGCGCGCCCUCGUCCGCCUGCUGCUGGGCGCACACGCUCGUCCCCGCCUUGCAGGACGUGGACGCCACCUGGUUCAGCCCCACACCCAGCCACACGGCCAGCCGCGUGAACGCGGGCCAGUCCACGGCAGCUGCGGGCUCUGGCGGGCUACGGUACAGCGCUGCCGGCAUGCGCAAGGCCAGCGUGAUGGCUACCUGUGCACGUCAGAGGGAGUUGUGUAUUAAGGAAGCGUGCGGGCAAAGCAGACGAGGUCACCACAAGCCGUCAAUAACACUGCAGCAUGCAACGCCAUGGGCGCACGCCGUCGCUGUUGCCACGUCAGCACACACGUCCCCGCCCUGGCACUGCACUGCAAUGCGCUGCGCUACACUGCACACAACUCACACACGGGGCCUACGCACCUGGUGAAGGCCCAUGGCACCUGGAAUUGCGCAUGUGAUGAGCUUCAUUGACAGCUCCAUGCUCACGUCGGCACCCGCACUAGCCCAGUCCCUGCUUGUGCAGGUCGCGACGAAGCUGGUCGCCAUCCCUGCCGCCGGCAAGCCGCCGUGACCCGACGUGGGCGCGGCCCUUGCUGCAGACAGCAACGGCGCCGACGUGGCGCUGUGCAGCCCGCCAGUGGCAGUUUGUGCAGCCCCCGUCUCAGUGCCGUUCGAUGCAAGUGGCUGGUGCUGUUGGCUGUGGUAGUGGUGGUGGUGGCAGUGCUCCGCCGCCAGCUGCAGUGUGUGGCCGUGCUGCAGCUCCAGCGGCAGCGCCACCAGCUCGGGCUGAUCCAGGGCCACCCGUCUGCAGGGCUCGGGGCCCCGGACGCCCAGCUGCAGCGCGCCACCAGCUGCCCCCGCAUCCAAGGCCUCCUCCGCGGCCGACUGCAGCUGGAUAUAGCGCAGCAGCGCCACCUCCAGCGCCCUGUGCUGCUGCUUACUAACGGUCGUGCUGGCGGGGUUGGUUGCGUUGGCCAGCAGGACUGUCAGCCGCGACUCUGCGAUGCCCGCGAAAGCAGUUGCUACCAUUGGAACCUCAUCCACGGCCGGUGCCGGCCCUGCACUUGUCCGACUGGUUGUAGGCCCCCCGUCCGACACCUGCCGGUUGGGGCUCGGCCGUCGGUGCGCCGGCUGCUGACCCUGAGGCACCGGCUGCCAGCGCUGCAGCUGUUGGUGGGCGAGGCGAUCGCCCAGCUCCUGGCAGCGGCCCGCCAGGGUCCAGCGGUCCGACUGCCCUGGGGCCAGGCAGCGCGGUGAGGAUACGACCAGCCGCGGACCCAGACUAACUGCAUCAGGCGGAGCUCGCUCGCCCUGUAAUGGCACGGCCGGAUCUCCAGUGCCCGCUGCCACCGCCACGGCCUCCGCUUCAUGAGCACCCUGACCGGGGUUCACUCCCGACCUGCCUUCAUGGUCACCAGCUGCGGCGUCCGGCUGGUCAGAUCGUUGCUGCUGCUGCUGCUGCUGCUGCGCUGCAGCCUCCUCCAGGUCCCCUCCGUGCGCUGGCGUCAGCACCAGCUGUGACAGGGGCCCAGCAGGUGAGUGCGGGGGAGCGCUGCCCCGCAGGCCGUCACUGUCAGCCGCAUGCGUGCCGGCAGCUGCUGGUGCCUCCACACCGGGCGUUGCCUCCUGGUGGCCCUGCGCCAUGCUGCUAGCGCCGCGCACUGCCCCGUCGUCUGGCCGCAGACCCCCCUCAUCCGUGUCGACGUGACCACCCUCUGGUGCAGCCUUCGCCGACACUGUGCCUUCUGGGACUGCCUCCGGUGGCACCACCCUUGGCGCAGCCGCCCCGGUAAGUGCCGGCUGCGCGGUCGCCGGCCCCAGUUCGCCCGCCAUAUCUGGUGCUGCAGCCACCUCCCCAGACUCGGCUGCCUCCACUGCCGCUGCGGCCGGCACUGCUGCCGUCGAGGAACUGGGCGAAGGCGUCGUGGCAGUCGCCUCCGCUGCCUCGGCUCCUGACACAGCUGCCUCCGCAACCGCCGUAUGCAUAUCCGGCACAUUCGCCGCAAGCCGCCCUGCCGCUGGCCCUACAGCCUCCUGCGCCGCUACGCCUGGCCCCGCAACGAGGUCCGCUGUUGCGGCUAGUGCUGCCUGCGGAGCCGUUGCCGCCAUCGUCACAUCAGGUACUGCCGCCGACUGCACUGCUGCCUCGACACCGAGCACUGGCGCUGCCUCCACUGCAGCCUCGGGCAGAGCUGCUGCCUUCUCGGGCGCAGCGCCGGCCUCUGCAAGCAUCGCUUCCUGCGGCGCACCCACCUCGACGGAUUCGACCGCCUCAGGAUCAUACCAGGAAGGAUGGAGAACUGCGGGCGUAGCGCGCCGGGACUUUGGCACUGCCGCAGGCACAGGUGGUUUUCCAUCCAUCAUUAUCCCUAUGAAAUAACAGGGGCAGAUACAACCGUUCGUGCGUGUUGCAUCCUUUACUGGCAUUCGUGCAAGCACGGGCGCAUUGCGGGCAUCGCGGACAAUGCCAAAUAAUGUCAGUCAAUGCACACCCUGUGUCCCCCCCACCCCCGUUUGGUCUGGUUUAGCUUGGGCUGGAAUUUACAACCCCCAUGCACCCACCAACAGUGUCCGUGUGUUCAUGGGCUGCGUCCUGACGGCUGCUGCCGUGUCCCGGACUGUGGGGCACUGUGGGCGCUGCGCGCUCCUCCCGCUCGCCAUCCGAUGACGACGAGUGCAGCUCAUAGUCCUGACACGAUACCUUGCUGCCCAGUAGGGUGGGGGCCGGGGCUGGCGGGGCCAGCUGCUGGGACUGUGAGGCGCUCGGCUGCUGUGCGAGCGGCACGCGGCGCAAUGCCUUCAAGCCGCGCGCCAGCACGGCUUGCGCCGGCCCAGGCGUGGCUUGUGCGGACGAUGUGCGACCGUCAGUCGCAUGGAUGACAGGGGCUGCGUCAUGUGCACGUGCAUGCGCACCCGCACCCACGGGUUGCUCGGGCGGCAUCAGGAUCGCCGCCCGCGCGCUUGUGCCGCCCGGUUGUUGUUGGCUGGGACCCGCUCCGCCGCAAGCCGAGGCCACUGUGCCUCCCCGGUCGUGUUGAGAGCUGGUGCUGGUGCUCGUGCUGGACGUGGAGUGGGUGGUGAUCACCGCCAGCAGCCGCUCCACUCCGGCAGAAGCCGCCGCGCAUGUGUCGUUGUGGGUAAUAGCCAAAGGAAUCAGCGCGGGUACAUCUAUCUGUGUACGCGCACCGCUGUGGCCACCGGCGUCCGAAUACAUGGCUGCCCCUACAGGCUUGGAGGCGGGUUGCUGCUUGCCAGCCCCAGGCUCCCCUCCCGCUGCAAAUGCCAGCUGCUCCUGCUUCGACCGCUCCUCAUCCUGCUGCCCCUUCAUCGACAGCUGCUGCACAACCACCAAGGGCAACUGCUGGUCAGGAGUCCAACUGGGACAACCAGCCACUGCCGCCACCGCCGUCGCUGACUGCUGCAGGCCCACGUCCUUGCCGGGGUCUGGGACCGGGCUGGGGACCGGGCGGUCCGCCCCCAGCAGCUGGUCAGCUGGCCGCCGUGCGGGGCGUUCAAACUGCCCGUGCUGGGCUCCCGCGACCUCGCGUGUGCCGGGGUCCAGCUCCUUCGCGUGUGAGCCGCCAGCAGCGUCAGCGGCGGGACCAGGAGCGGGAGCUGACAGCUCGCGCUUGGCAAGCUGUGGAGGAGGCUGCAGCUGUUGUUGCUGUUGUUGUUUCUGCUGCUGUUGUUGUUGCUGUUGCUGCUGUUGUUGUUGUUGCUGCUGUUGUUGCUGCUGUUGUUGCUGCUGCUGCUGCUGCUGCUGCUGCUGCUGCUGCUGCUGCUGCUGCUGUUGUUGCUGCUGCUGCUGCUGUGCAAUGGAGGGCAGCGCGCAGAUGUCAGCGCCGCCGGGGCAGUCCGGCAGCUGCUGCGGCGCUGCAGGCCCCCUGUUCCCGUGUGGCGAUGUUGGCAGGGCAGUACUUAUGCGCAUGUGCUGAAGACUGCAGAAUGCAUAAAUACAUUGCGCUCUCCAACACAUGUAUCAUACUUGGUUGACGCGGUAUCUCACCAGUGCAGCAGCGUGACUCCCAUCAGCACCUCGUCACUGCUGGCCGCGUUCACAAUUCCGUCGGAGUCGGUCCAAGCGUCCCACCGUACCUGAGCGUCACCACAUCAGGCAUUGGUGGAGGAGUUGGAAGCAUGUGAUCCGUUUAUGCCGGUGGCUGUCUUUGGAGGUUGCUGCUUGACGCAACGCACAUCAGGCCAGCGAGACAGCCGCAACCAACGGCCCGGCAGUGCAUUGAAUACAUUGCGGCGCCAGAGUCCUGCAACUGCUACUGCCAGCACGAGCCCCCAGCACACACCUGUAGGCUGACGAGGUCGUCUGCCGGCUUCAACACUUUGCCACUGAACCACCGCGGCCGCGGCAGCUCCUCGGCGUAGAACACGUGCAGCCGCCGACCCGCCAGGGAGCCCAAGCCACCGACCCCAGCUCCCGCACCGCUGCUGGGCGCGCCUGGUCGCCGCUCCUACACAGGUACCCAUGAUAGCCGGUGGGAGGUGUGGACAGGAUAGCCGUACACAAAGUUUACACACAGAAAACAAACAUAAAAUAGGCCCGGUGAGCUGCUAUGCACAGCAGCCGGCUCACCUGACACAGCGGGGCUGCAGCGUCCAGCUCCGUGCGGGUCAGGUGCCGCAGGUAAUUGCGGAGUGACAUUGGCCGCGCAGCAGGUGCGGCGGACGCACAUGUGCGACCCCGACCAGCUGUCGCUGCUGCUGCGCCCAUCGCCGCCUGUAGGUGCGAGCCCCGCUGAAGCUGUCCUAACCCAUUGGCCCGCUCCUGCCUUGCUUUCACAUCCUGCGGCUCCUGUGCCGGGUGCUGUUCCGCGUCCUCCACCACCUCCACCGCACUCAGCACCAGGUCGCGAUACUCUGCCGGCUGGCGGUUGGGGUCCAGACCCGAUAUGCGUAGACCCGUGCAGUGCUCCAGCCACUGAGGCAGGUUGUACAUGCGCCCAUAGGCAGGUGAGGUGCCAGGGACGCUGCUCCCCCCGCCGUUGCUGCUGCUGGUUCCAGUGCUGUCGCUGCUGCUGUCCGCACUGCUGCAGCCCACAACGCCCCCCUGCUGGUCCCCAUUCGUGCCCGCCUCGCUCCUCGCCUGCCCAUCCUCCUCAUUCCAUUCCUGACAGGUGUCGCAUUGACAGGCCACCGUGAUGUUCUGGGCGUUGGCGUCGUGUGCUGUAAAGGGUCGUUUAACAUGUCAGUAAUGCUGUCAUAACAGCCACUGCUUGUGCACUUGCGCACAGAAAACCUCGUAUGUAACCACGGAGCUGCAAGAACUUCGACGUGUGCACCCGCAUCUUCGCAACGAUGACUGGUUGUAAACGGUUUCAUAUUUGCUCUACUGAGUUUGUAUGGUCUAUGGCCUUCAUCCAUAUCUUCAAGCGGGCUCCCCGUUUUUCACCACUGACCUCCAAGCAGACGGCUGAGCUUGGGCGGCUCUCCACACCGCAGCCAGGUCACAGGCAGCCGGGCAGCCAGUGCCGCAACCUUGGGGUCCACUUCCUGCGGAGGCCAUACGACAAUCAGUGGCCCACGGCCCUGUUUGCAUGCCGGUUAGGGUUCUUUGGCCGACUGCCCUGCCAAGCAAACAUGAGGUAUAUGCACAGCCUUGCUCACAACCUCGGCCAGCAAGUGCGUCGACCCCCGCCCCUUGCCCAGUGUGCACGCCCAACUCCGUCAGCAGUCAACACCCCUCCCUCACCGCGGCAGGGCGAGACUGUGCACGGUCGGUGUUGCGUUUCCGCGGCGUGCAGAACUGCUGCAGCCGCUGGUGUAGCGGCAGGGCGGGGUCAUAGCGCGGCGGGGCUGGGAGGGAAGGAAGUGAAAGAGGGGUAGCUAAAAACAUCAGUAUCGUGGUCCAGCCUUCCCAACAGGUCCCUCCUUCCCAAGUCCUGGGACAGGAACCCAUCCCCAAGGCCCCCACUGCACCCGAGGAUGGAGGCUGCGUCUGCGCAGGCGCAAACAAGUGGGCCCGUGCGCGCUGUCGAUUAUGACCACCAUGGUGACACACUUACAGGUGGACCGGCUCCGCGACCGUUUGGCGUUCGGGGCCCCAUCUUGGCCGCCAGCGCGUUUCAUAACUCACGCUCCGCAGACUUUGAGGCCCUGCCCGCGGUCGAGCUUGCUGACAGACGCGGGUGGCCCCAUGGUCCUGGCGCUAGCUAUGUAUUGAGCGCUAUAUCAUGCUUGGAGUCUCGGCUUAAACGUUUAGCAUGUUCCUUUCGCAGGAUUUGCUUUUAGGUGCUCGGCGAAACUUCUCCAAGGCAGCAGCUGAGUUGCUUGCUAAUCCAAACACGUAUUUUUGUACGAAUGUUUUAGUAUAUACUGUAACAACGAGUAGGGUAAACUGCCCGUUCGUUAAAGCCCCGACCGCGGCAUGGUCCGGGCCAGUUUUGGAAAUCAAAAAUACGCAAGUGCAGAUUUCGAGAGUGGUUGUUAAGCAUUGAAUCUGGCUUAUACUUUGCUGGCUGCGAGCGGGGCGAGCUGCUGCUCUUGAAUAAGGCCCUUGCAACACCUUUGCCACGCCAGACAGCGCAGGUUGCUGCGUGUCAAAAUGUUGGCGUCCAGGCUUUGCAAGCUUUCGGGCUUCAGGAGUGCGCUCGGAGUGCAGGCAGCGGCGCCGGUCCCUCGCUUUGCCGUCAGCCGCCGUGUAAGUAGCUGCAAUCCACACAAACAGACCAGCACGCUCGACAUGACGCAGUAGCCUUGGUAUGGUGAGCACCGGGCGCAAGCUGAUUGAAUGGCGUGCUCGGCUUUGCACAGGUUGCGAUUACAUACGCGCAGCUCGCUCCCAGCAACAGCAGUGAGCGGGACGAGUCUGCUGAUGGGAAGUCUGCGGCAGGGUCGGUACAGUCGCCGCUCGGGACCGUGUCGCCUGUGCCUCUGGUGCCGGCGCGUGACGUGCGCGCGGAGGCAGCCACGGGCGGCGGUGACGGUGGCUCGACAGGCGGCAGCAGCGGUGGCGGCGGUGGUGGCGGGGGCGGGGGCGGGGGCGAGGGGGCCGGCAACAGCGACGACGACCGCAUCCUGACGCUGAGCGAGGUGCGGGCGACGCCGCCACUUUGUUGCAACCUCCACCGGUACUGCGUCAGCCGGGCGCUGGCCUUCCCCAUGCGGCCAAGCCGACGUGACUGCGCGCUAUGUGCUGUAUGCUGCCUGCGCGGCACCCCCAGGUGGAGGCCUUCGCCGCGGAGAAGAAGCUGAGCCUGCCCGCCGACAUGCUGGAGGUGGCCAAGAAGUUCGGACUGCGGUCCUCGGUGCUGAACGCCUUCCUGGCGGCCCAGGUGGACAGAGAAGGGCAGAGGAGGGGUGGGGGACAAGCGCGGGCGCUGUCUGUUCCUCAUGAUAGCAGCGCGCCCUCCUUUCCCCAGUGCAACCAACUGCCUGCUGCCCCCCCCCCCGUGUCUCCCUCUGUGUGUGCAGGGCCUGGUGUUCACCGGCCUGCUGUGCCGCACCAUGCCCUACUUCCGCGACCGCAUCCUGGCCGACCCGCUGUUCCUGUUCAAAGUGGGCGCCGAGGUCGUCAUCGACUCGGGUGCGUGCAGCUGCGGGGGGCAGUGGGGAGAUGCAGCGACUGCCCUGCAAUGUGCAAGCGAGAGCGCAGCACGCACGGCAUAGGCUUGGUCAUGUUGGGCACAUACCCUGUCUUUGCCGUGGGAGCAAGCAGCUUGGUGCUCCAUACGGUACACAGGCUGCGCCACAGUGGCGGAGGUCCGCAAGCGCGGCAAGGACUUCUGGGCCGAGUUUGAGUUCUACCUGUCUGACCUGUUGGUGGGUAGCACGCCUGGGUGGGAUGGGUGGACACCGGCCAGUACAUGAAGGGUGUCUCAUCAUGCGUGCAACGGGUAGACGACACUUCAUCUGAUUUGCCCUGGUCACAAUAUGCAUCGGCGCAGCUCGGUGCAGAGGUUGGUGUCCAGCACUAGCAUGUCAUGUCCUGCGCAAAGCUUGUAUCCUGCGCACAAUGAUUGGCGUUUUCCCCGUGGUUGCUGGCAGGUGGGCCUGGUGCUGGACGUGGUGCUGGUGUCGCUGAUGGCACCCGCAGCGGUGCUGGGCGGCGUCAGCCGAGCGGCCAUGAGCAACAGUGAGUGUGUGCAGCGAAUGCAAGUACUGAGUACGACGUGAAUGGGCCAUUCGGCGCAUCUGGAGGCCGGACGCGUCCACACGUGGUCUCACGCAGCCAAUCUGCUGGAGCAUGCUUGUGAUGCGCACGCAGCUGCAUUGCACGCCGUGAUGUAUGACCAUGCGUGCAUUCGUGUUCGUGCGCCCAGGCCCGUUGAAGAAGUGGCUGGCCACCAUCCCCUCCGCUGUGUUUGAGGCGUCGGUGCCUGGCGUCAAGACCUUCAACGUGGGCCAGCGCAUCGCCUGCCUGGGCGUCAAGUUCCUGGAGUACAGCCUGGCGGGCAUCACCUGCGGCCUGCUGGGCCAGGGCCUGGCCAACUCCCUCAUGCUCCUCAAGUGAGUGGAUGAAAGGAGCAGCACCGAGGGGCCUGGGCAAACAGCGGGUUAUCCAAGGCAGCGCACCUGUAGCAAGAUACUGGUUUAACCGCCCAAGGUAGAAAUGGGCUGCGCCCACGCCUCACUUCCCGACCAAGGAAAGAGCGUCAAGCUGGGACGGGGCGGGUUCUUUUAUGGGCACGCGAAUGAUCAUCCGUCAACAGACGCGCGAGGGCGCUUCUUUCUCCGGCUGAUUUGGACCCGCCGCCUGUUUGCGAUCCAUGGGCUUUACCAAAUAUCCAGGGUAGUGCACAUGUGGUGAAGAGCCGGCUUGUAACCUCGCGCAAAUGGUGUCAUCGCUGCUGACCUCUCGCACGUCUUCCUGUGUCACAGGCGCCAAGUGCACGGCGCCAAGGAGGACGACGUGCCGGUGCCGCCGCUGUUCAAGACGGCGCUGGUGUGGGGCCUGUUCAUGGGCGUGUCCUCCAACACGCGUUACCAGGUGGGUAUCAGCGGUCUGGCGUCCCCCUGAUUGGGGACCUGGUUGGCAGCCCUCAAACGGGGCCCUACCGCCGCUCAUGCCUGUAUCCGUGUCCUUGUUGUCUUCGCCGUGUUAAGGGGGGCAGGGCGGUGGUCAAGCAUAACACUGAACUGUGCAUCAGCAUAUCAAGGUUUAUGUACACCCCUGGACGUCGGCACUACAUACCUGUAUUUUAAGUCACUGCGUCCUUGGUGGCUGAUGAAAGGCAACCUCCCACCCACCCACCCCCCGCCUUAGUUGAUCAUGGAUGUAACCUCCCACCCCCAACCCCCCACCCCAUCCUGCAGAUCGUGUUCGGCCUGGAGCGCCUGGUGGACAUGACCAUUGCGCGCUCCAUUCCGCAAGUGGCCUACGGCACGACCAUUGCCAUCCGCUUUGUCAACAACGUGAUUGGUGGCGAGAACUUCAUUGACAUGGCGCGCUGGGCUGGCGUCCAGUAGGUUGGCUGGCCUCUUGCGCGCAAAGCCAGGGAGCAGGCAGGACUGCAGCGUUGUGGAAAGGGGCAGGCAGGCAUGCUGCGAGGUGCGGUGACAGCGGUGCGCAGUCCGUCGUGACACAUGGCACCAGCUAGCUGCGUAAGAUACGAAUGCGGGGACGCACUUACAACACGUGUGCACAGUUGCAGUAUGGAGUGAGCCCGCCACAGCCUGUCGCCUACGUCUUGAGCAAUGCGCGCUGCAUGGAAAGGAUGUCUUGGAGGCGUGCGAGACUUAGCAGUGUAUGAGUCUGCUGGCCGUUGCGAUUACGCCUACCUUGGUGAGUGACACUUUUGACAGAUGUACGACUUCUUAUAUACGCGUAAGGAACCGUUGGCAAGGGACUGCUGUACUUCAGGGCAUGACGAGAUACGAUACGGCGAUGGCUGGAAUGGGCUUAUCCCGAUGCGCACUUCACAUGAGGUACCGUGCCCCCUGUGCUGCGCUGCAAGUGAAGUAAAGCCCAGACGUAGACCAGGUGCAGACGUACUUGGGACGUACAUAUAUAUAGGCACCGUGUCAGGUGGUUGCUCAGCCCUCACCAGUGGCUGGCCCUGCAUGAUGACGGCACAAUCGGGGACAAUCCCAUGCGGUGUAACACUUCUUACAACAUGUUAUCUUUUGGUAAGAUCGAGAUAAGCCCUGCAUCGCCCCACUCUAGGAAGCCGGCACCCCGUUGACUUCCCCGACAGUUCUCCUCGGCUGGCAUCCACACCGAAGUAACAUCCGGCAUUAUCAUAUGCACAGCAUACAUCCCACCCUUGCCCGACGGGGGGCAGCCGAGGCAGGCCGAGGCUCCCUGGCACUCGCCACACAAAGCAACAAUGCGUUUGGUCUUCGCCUAAUCAAGGCGAAAUGGUGUAAGAGGGCUAGCCUUAAUUUAAUGGACUGCCACAGCACACCACUGGACCGGUCACAAAGUCCAACUUAAUGCGUCAGGAUUGUGCGCACUCAGCAUGGCCAGCAGGGCGCAGCACGUCAAUGCGUGCUUCGGCUGUGUUGGUGAACCAGAACACACGCCCCGCUUCGGUCAAGAGCACCCACACACACAAUCCACUUACACACGCACACCAGCAACGAGACAGGCCAUCCCUCUGUGCUCCGUGCGUGUAGUACGUGCGCGCCCCUCGGCCUAGCAAAACGGCAUGCCUUCUCUCAGCCUACACCACGUGCCCUGCGUGCGGCAGCGUCGGCAGCAUCUGGUACCAGUCCACGCCGCGGCCCUGCUUGCCAGACGGCCGCGGCACCAUGUACCGCAGUGUGCGUGCGCGGUCCGCCGCCCGGUCGGCGUAGCGCACAGGCGGCGGCAGCGAGAGCGCCCUGAGGUGCGUACAACAGCCAGACAGGUGGGCAGGCAGGCGUGAAGAGCACCAAAGCCAAUAAAGGUAAGGCGGAGUGCCCCGUGUAGUUCCAGCACCGGUCCACCGGAAGGUCCCUCCCACCCAGGUACCCUCCCAUCCACGGCUGACACUAGCCAGUUUGCUGGGCUGGGGCAUGUAACCCACCCUUCAAUCAUGGUUUGUCAUGGACUGCGUCUUAGCGUCUUAUGUGUUCCGGAACAACCCGCCGCCGGGCGUCGUGCCCACCGUCCCACUCACCCACCCACCCGUGCGGCUGCUGGCCCACCCAGGCUCCCGUGCCCCCGCGCGGCCCCACCUGGUGCAGGCCGGGUAUGUGUGGCACAGCGUGUGGGUCAGCAGCUGCAGCGCCUCCGCCGUGAAGCCCACCUCGUCCACAAGCACAGUGUACCUGAUUGACAGCGGUAGACACAGGCACAGGCACCGCCGGGGUGCGCGCAGUGUGCAUGUAGUAUAAUGACAUGCAAUGCUGCGGCGCCAGUGGUACUAAAGCCUUCAUUCGUUGCUGCUCCCCCGUAUGUCGGCGCUGCACGUAAAGCCGACAUGGCCGUCAAAGCGCCAUUGCCAUGUGAUGCGGAUUCAGCCCCAAUCGGAGCCGCAUCAGCCACACCCGCCCGCACCCUCCUGGCACGGCCCACCUGGGCGCCCGGUUGGUGCCCUGUAUGCCGGCGUGCGAGUUGAGGAAGAAGUCGAAGGCGUGGGGGUCCGUCACGCCUCGGUCCACAGCGGUGCCCGGCAGCACGUUGCCGCUCUUGUGCGUGGACUCGGCCGAGGUGGGGAAGAAGCGGGUGUUGUGGGACUUCUGGACCACCACGAAGCAGAUGCGCGGCCGGUAGGACGGACCGCCCACGUCGGCGCAGGCCUGACAGUCAAGGGGAUAGAGUGCCUAAGCGGUUGAGCAACGGACUGGAACCGAGGCGACGCAUGUCAUCCGGCUGCUCUACAUCCUGUGAGGGGUUGCUAUCUUCGCCGUCAAUGUAUGCCCGUCCCCAGCCCCGCCCCCACCUGCACAAUGGCGGUAAACUCCUCCGCCAGGGCCCGGUCGAACUGGCUCUCACUCAGCCCGUCCCGGUACAUGAGCACCACCUCUGGCAGCUCGGAGGAGGGCCGGGGGCCGCCGGCCGCGACCGCCCCGCCCUGAGGCAAGCCGUACUGCAGCAGCAGCCGCCGCACACUCUCGCGCAUGCUGACAACUAUGUCGCGGUUGCCCGCCACCUGAGAAUGGGGGGAGAGGGGGGUAGGCGCCCAUGAAAGCCGGAAUGGUACAUCGCGUUGCGUGCUGGUUGCAAGUGCGCCUCAUGGCUCCCCUAGCACCACCUGCCAGCCCUAAUGGGUCCUGACUCCGAAGGCAGGUUCCUCCCAUGCCCCCAAUGUCAUCGGGCGGCCAAUGCACGCGGUAGCACCGCGCCGCCUGCCGCACCCACCUGCGCACUCAGCUGCACUCGGUAGUCGACCGCGUGGCUGCGCUUGUCAAGGUCAGGUUGGGUGGGGACAAGGAAUUCACUUCCAAAUUACCUGGACCCAGAGCCCAGGGGGACGGAUGCCAAGUCCCACUGCAACACGGGAUCAAGCCCUGCUGCGACCCACCUGUCUGCCGACCCCACAACAGCAGCGUAUUCGACUCCAGCCGACACCUGCACUCGUGUGCGCCGGGUGCGGGGGAGGGCGAGAGCGAGCUCACCUGGGCGGCACCUCUAUAGCCACGACUUAACAGUGCGCCACUCAGCCCCAGCCGCGCCUCCAGCCGUCCAGGCCCCCGCCCGCCCACCUGCGCCUCCGACUCCGCCUCGGCCGCUGCGAGCUGCUGGUCGCCGCCGCGCCCCGACAGCGCCGCCGCCGCCCCCCGCGAGAUGUCGGCCCCCAGCACCAUCAGCCGCCGGCCGCCCAGCAGCGGCAGCCAGUCCUGAGGUGAGACAACAGCAAGGGCGUGCGGGAUAUGGGGAGUGAGAGGAGGUCACAGGGGAGGAAACCUAAUGAAGCAGGCACAAUGGGUAACAGGACAAGCGGAGGUGAGGGGGCCGGGGGCCGCGGGGUCGUCAGCAGAGGUUGCAAGAUGUAAAACGCCCGGGACCAGCUGCGGGGGACGGGUGUGGUCCAUGAGACCAUCACAAGUGCCCAUACGCCUCUGUGCGGCCCACGCACGUAACAUAGCCAACCCUGCCGCCUCUCCUUGUUCUGCCUCCCGCACGAGGACGUACCGCCUCUGCCUCCAUCCCGCGCUCCCGCGCCCCACACAGCCCAACUGACUCACAUUGGGCCUGCCUGCCGGCCUCGUGGUGGCGCCGCCCAGUUUGGCGUUGACCGACAGCGCCAACUGGGCCGCGUAGGAGAAGGAGGGGCCGGAGGAGGCCUUGGGGCCCACCUGCAGCGAGGGAGGGGAGGAGAGAGGGCGAGCAGGUGGGUUGAGGGGGGAGAGCGCAGUCCGCACAGCCCCCUGUGAGGCGGACCCGGGCGCACCAGACCCGGCAUACGUGCGGCCGUGUAGUACAUGCACGGAUGUGCACACUACGUUUGCGCCACGCGUGCGGACGAUGCGCAGUUCAACACAUCCUUGCUGGCAGGUGUGCGCCCCAUCUCUCACCAAUCCCGCCUUGGCCGGGUUGACGCACUGGGUGGCCACUCCCAACUUGCCGUCGCCUGCCGCCUUGAUGGCGUCAUACAGGCCUGCGGCGUUUCCGGUAGAGUGGAGCUAUGUGCCAACCAGGGCCGAGGUUAGGCAGACAGCACACGUGCACCCACCCCAAGCCACGCCCUGUAGCCCCCUAUCUACCCCUGCCCCCGAGCACCCACCUACGCCGCCCCUGUCCGGCAGCACCACCAUCACCAUCUGCGCCUGCCGCUUGUACUGCUCUUGAGCCUUGGCCGCCGCGCGGUUGAGCCAGAACUCCGCGUCCGCAGCGGCCUUGUCGGGCGACAUGCCGGGCUUGGGCAGCGAGGCCCAUAUGACGGGGAUGUUGGGCGGCAGGGCGCUGGCGGACGAGGCGGACAGUGCCUUGGACAGAGCGGCCAGCAGGCCCGACAGCGGGGCUGUGGGAACAGGGGACACCGCAACCGGGACUCAUCAGCGCUCACACUGGCCGCGCGGCACCACUCCUACCCCUCCAACCCCUCCUUUUGCCUGUGCCUCUUCCCGCCCUGCCCCGCAAGGCCCCAUCCAUACUCCGCUCCUUGCUUGAAAGGUUGCACUCAAACCCCCUGUCCCGCGGCGCUCACCCUGCCCCUCCGACUGGCUCAGGUAGCACAGCACGGCGCCGCUGCGCCACUCCGGCGCCACCGCCACGCCGCCGCCGGCCCAUUCGCCCUUGUUGCCGGGCUCCACCGCCUGCUGCUUGGCCACCUGCAGCAGCGGGCCAGGCAGCAGCUGCGCCGGCACCUGCAGGCCGGGAGGAGAGGGGCCGUGUGUGUGUGUGUGUGUGUGUGUGUGUGUGUGUGUGUGUGUGUGUGUGUGUGUGUGUGUGUGUGUGUGUUCGUGCAUGCGUGUGUGCGUGCGUGCGUGCGUGUUACACAUAUGACUAACUAAGAAGAAGCGGACUUGUAGUAGUUACAUUUGUUUUGGGGGGGGGGGGGUUGUUCAUUCCAAUCCAACAGGAUAAACGAGGACUAUGGACCGGGGUUGUCGACCCAACGAAACCUGCCGUGGGGAGGCGGAAAGCACACGCAACCCCCAGCGCGAUUGUCUCUGUGAAUCGGGAGUUGAAGAGCUAAGCCUGUAAAGCCAUAUGGCGAGUGCUGCACAUGGUUUGGCCUGCUUUGUCUCCGCACAGGGGAUGCAUGCGUCCAUGCAUCACGCGCUCACACCUUGAGGAAGUCGGGCAUGUCGUUGAACGGCGCCAGGCCAAACGCGCGCGCCACCUGACCCCGCACCGAGCCCAGCUGCCGCGUCAGUGCCUCCCGCAUGGCCCUCAUGCGGUCUGCCGGCUUGAGGGCGGCUGUACGGAUGUAGUCGGCCUUCUGGCGGGCGUCAAGCCGCGACAUGCGCUUCUGGUACUUGACCACACUGUGGGCGGAGGGCAUACGGCAGAUAGGCGAGGGCAGGCAGGCAGGCGUGAGCGUGAGCGGUGCACGAGCCGCCCGCGCGUGGUGUCGCAAGUGUCCCUGGGCGACGACGCCCCCUCCCCCCCCCCGCGACGUCCUACGGCGCGCCUGGCACAUCGCCCAAGUGCUUGCCUCCGCCCAACCCCUACCCCAAAGUGACCCCCCUCCCCAGCCCGGAAAUACAGCACGCCUCUCACGUGAGCAGCUCAAUGGGCAGUGCGCCGCCCUUCUUGUCCAGCACACAGGGCAGGUCGGGGUGCUGCAGCGACACGCCGUACCGCUCCUUGAAGUAAGUCUGUGUGUGUGUGUGUGUGUGUGUGUGUGUGUGUGUGUGUGUGUGUGUGUGUGUGUGUGUGUGUGUGUGUGUGUGUGUGUGUGUGACGGGGGGGGGCGGGGCACGCGGGGCAACAGUAGACGCGGCACACAGCGGGGUUGGCGCCGGCCCUCCGGAAGGUAACCCACCCGCGCGGCCCUUCACCAAACCUUACGCCGCCCAUGCCGCCACACAAACGGUCAUGCCAAAGGCCGAGCCAUGAAAGCCUGCGAGCCCCUACCUGACAUGCGCAUCUGGGCGCGAAGUGUGUGUGCGCCGGGCUAUGCUAAGCCUCCGAGCAACGUGCCCCAACAUACAGCAGCAACUGGCAAUGGCAAAGCGCGGGUGGCCGGCCUUCCGAGAGCCUCCAGCACCGGGCGCCCCUACCUGGACGCUGAUCUUGCGGCCCUCGAACUCAAAUGCGAGGCUGCGGGCGGACUUGCCCAACUUGCCGGACAGUUUGUAGCGGUUGGCGGUGUAGCUGGGCUGGACCUGGGUGUGGGGUGGGGUGGAGGAUACAUACAUGCGCGCGGGGAGGUGGGGGAGGGCGUUGCCAGGUGUUUGCAUGUGUGCUGAACGGGCAGUGCGCGUGGCCAGCGCACAUGUUUUAGAUUCAUGCCCCACCCCGCCCCGUACCCGUACCCGUGCACCACCCACCUCCAGCCCCACCAGCGCCUCCUCCAGGCGCCGGGCGUUCUUGCUGUUGCCCAGCUCCGUCGCCAGCGCCGACACGUCCCGUCCCGCCGCUAGCGCAGCCUGUGUGUGAGUUCGCGUGGGUUCAUGGGCAAGACACGAAAGCCCACCGAUGUCUUCUCUGCCUCAGCGCCUGCCUGGGUGGUGGCGCACCGCAUUGAACGUGUUCCAGACACUCCCGUGCAUAUGACGUACGAAAAGGAAACGCAGCCACACGCACACCUGCAGUUGGCCGAGCAGGGGGCCGUCGCCCGCCACCACCGCACUCGCGGCAUCAAUGGUGAGGGUGGUGCCGGCCGCCACCUGAGCCACAGCGGAGCGGAAGCCGCGCAGCAGCUGCGAGCCAGGGGUGGGAGUAGGCCGGCGGCCAUCAGGCGGCAGCCCAAAGGACAUUCGAGCCGGUGUGCAGUAGCUGGCUGACACACUCCAACGGGGGCGAGCCGCGCGGCGGACGCGGUUGACGCAGCCAAAGCUGCUCAAGACGCGCAGUGUCAGGGUCUGCUGCGUGGCGACUCUCAACUCCCAUGUUCAUGCUCACCUUCAUUGGCAGCAGGCCCUUCACCGGCCCGCUGGCGUCCUCCUGCUUGUAGGACACGUAGGAGCCCCCGCCCGUGCGCACCGAGGCCACGUCCCACGCAACCCCCGCCCGAGUCACAAGGUCCAACACCGCCAGUGCGGCGGCGCCGGACGUGGCUGGGGGGGCGGGCGGCGGCGGCAGCACACCCGCUGGCGCGGGCGAGCCCUCGGGCUGUUCCUCGUCGGGCGGCGGCCGGCGUGUUGUCGGCCCCGGCAUCUGCGCCGCCUCCCUCAGGCACUCUGCCACGUCCAGCGCCCCCACCAGCUUCAGGUCCACCUGUGUAGGGAGGGAGCAGGGGCGGGGUGCUAAGACCAGGCUCGUUUCCUGGCAUGGGUGCGUGUCGGUGGAUUGCACACAUCUCUCCCCACACGCAGAGCCAGGUUAUAUCGCGCAGGUGUGGCCGGCACGACAGCACCUCCGCCCACCUUGUAUGUGCCGCCGACAACACCAGUCGUGGGCGCCGCUGCCAGCUGAACCUGCAGCUCCCCAUCGCCCCCGGCCCCGCCGGCGCCCGCCGCAGCUGCGGCCGCCCUGCGCCUGAGGUCGCCCUCCACGCCGUACAGCGCCUGGCUGCCGUCGAACACCCAGACGCCCCCGGCCGCUCCAGAGCCCCCUGCGCCUGUGUCGCCCAGCAGCGCCACCAGGACCGCCUGCGCCUCCUGCCCCGACACCUUGGCCUCCUUGCGGCCGCGGCCGGGCUUGCCGCCCCCCUGCCCCGAAGGUGCUGCUGCUGAGGAGGUCGGGGCACUGUUGGCGACGCGGCUGAUGCGCACGUCGUACUGAUGCACGGUGCGGACGCCCACAUUGAGCGGCACGUGAUUGGUGAGCACCUGGAUGGUCUUGCCCGCGGCGCUGUAACCCGGCCGCGCCGCAUGUCCAUUAGCCAACUGCGGGCCGUGGGGCAUGUUUUGUUGUGUGUGGGUAGUACUGGUUGCUGCAGCCUACUGCGCGUCUGCCAGCCGUGGUCGCAGGUGUCCGCACACCGGCGGCACGCGGCCAAAGCCCCCACGCAAACCCUACUGCCCCAGCUCUGGCCACUGACUAUGGCGAAGCCGACGUUGCAGCUAAGGUUACGCCCCUGCACCGCACCUGGCGCGGCUCCACUGGCCCCAGCGGAAGACCGGUGAACAGCCGGGUCCAAAACGACGGCCAGUACUGGGCCGGGGUGAGGAGCUCCUUCGGCGCGGUCGACGACGAUGAGCCCCUGCCUGAGCCACCUCCCCUGCCUCCACCUCCCCGGCCCGGUUGGCCGCCUCCGCGACCUCCUGGCCGGUUGGCCGAGUCCGAGUACCGAGCUGACACAGGCGUUGCGCUGUUCGCGCGGCCAGCCCGUCGAGGCAACUGGACCUUGCUCAGCAUUUUUACUGACUACCAAGCAUUCAGAUGUAGACCUAGGCGACCAGAGUCUCAGCGCUUACGUGCAGGUGGGGUGCAGUGCCCGCACAAGCCGCUUGGUACAGAACAUUAAUAUGUAAUUAAGUGGACCACCUUCUAUAACACUAGUGGUGCCUGGCAAGUCAAUUAGCCGCGACUGUCGAAUGAUGUUGCGGUGAAUUUCACGGUUGGUUAGGGUUGCCAAACGCAUUCAAGCAGCUUUCGAGCGUCUGGCCUUUGCAGUACAUUCCACCACUCACGAUGGAUUGAAAGCACUCAGCAAACAUGGGCACCGCACUGCCACCGCUGCGCGAGUACCAAGCUGAGCUUCUGCGCAUGGCGCGGCGUCACGCCUCGACGGUGAUCUACGCGGAAACUGGUACGUGUGGACGUGCAUUCACUCAAAUAAUACCAACUCAAAACUUAGGAGCGCAAAAAGGUCAAGGUGAAGUCCGGCGUGUCCUCUGCCGCCCGCCGUGGCAGGGAGGGCUGCACUGCUGCCCCUGUCAGCAAAUCGAUCCCCCUUAACCUACAAUAACACUUCACUCGCACUGUAACUUGUACUUCAGGCACGGGCAAGACGCGCAUUGCCGUUGAGCGCAUACUUGAGGCUCAUGGGGAACUGGUGGCGGCAGGCCGCCUAGCAGCCUUCCUGGCCCCAACCGUACCACUCGUGCGACAGGUGUGGCGGUGCUGGCGGACUGGUGGCAAAGGCCGAGUCGAGAUUGCAUGACCGAGGCUAGUGGGGUCAUGAAAGGCUGCUGUCAGUUGUCCAGCACAUAAGUCCAUUGCUUAUUUCAGCGUGUUGAUGCUCGUUUGCUCCCAAGGCCGGUGUGCGAACGCCGCUGCUUUCUUUUUGCCACUGACCCUCACUGACCAGCACCUGCGUGCGUCGUGCAACCAUUGCCACAUGCAGCAAGCCGAGGUGUUGGUCGCCGCGGGACUGCGGGUGGUGGUGUACACGGGGGAAGACAACCGCGACGCCCGCAACCGGGCGGGCUGGCAGCGCCUGCACCAGGAGGCGGAUGUGCUGUGCGCCACGCCGGACGCCCUGAACCGCCUCAUCGCACAUGCCUUCAUCACGGUGCGAUGAAUCACGGCUAUGAGCGCGUCCUCACAGUUGCCGGUGCUAAAACUCGGCUAUCGGGGAAAAGCGCCCAACCCGAAUUGCCGGGACUGCAUUGCAGGCAUGUGUGUGUCAUUGAUUGGGUUCUGGACUUGAUUGCGUACGUGCAGCCCCCGCCGUGUUCCCAGCUCAUGCGCCCUGCUGCCCCCCUGCUGCAUGCAGAUCCCGCAGCUGGGAAUGAUCGUGUUUGAUGAAUGCCACCACACGAAUGCAAACCAUCCCUACGCAGGUAACAGGGCAGGGAGUGUGGGCAUGCAUGUGAUUGAUAACCCGACGCAGACCUUCGUUUUGCAUGUGCUCGUACACGUUGCGCUGUCGCGUACCGUGUACAUGACAAAUUCUGGAGCCAUCUAGCUGUAGAAAUAGAAAUAGAAAUAGAGACACCCUGCCGUAGGCAAGUGGUGUGAAUUAAGGGAGUGGGGGGAGAUGAGGAGGUGGGCCAGGCCCGCCUCCUGUACGCCCCCACUACCGAGCAUGUGAAUCUAGCUGUACGAUGGUCAGCUGGCAGAUGCCCUAGGGCACCCAGAGUUACCGGGGUGUCAUACUGUCACCCCUCCACCCCCGCUGCCCCUAACCCCCACGGCCACCGCUGCACUUUGCGUACCUCCCACAGUGUUGCUGCGGGUGUUUGUGCGCCACCUCACGCCUCCCGACCAGCGGCCUGUGCUGCUGGGUCUCACCGCCUCGCCGCACAAGGCGGACGAGCUGAUGCGGCUGCUGGGCGCCCAGAUGGUGGCGGCGAGCAACACGUGCGUGCGUGCCGGAAAGAUGGUCGGGAGGGCAGUUGUAGCGAGCAACCAGGAUAGGGCUAGAGGUGUCAUGCUCAGCAGGCACGUGUGCCUUGCCGCAUUGCAGCAAGCCCAUUGCCGACGCCUCGUGACCUCGCUGCCGCUUCUUGAGUUUCAACGCUGUCUGUGUGCAGCGCACAGCUGCAAACCUUCAUGGCUAAGCCUCGAGUCGAGGUACACCGGCAGGAGGUGGAGCAGCCUGCGACCGUGGCGCCGCCGCAACGGCGACUAGCAAGCGGGACGUUCUCAGCUGCCGCAAGUAUCCUGCCGCCGGAGUGCGCGGCCGCAGUCGCGUCUGGCGACGCCGCUGACAUGCGCAAGGCGGGCGAGGCCUUGCAUGCAGGCGGCGGUUCGUGCAUCGCCGCGCAGCCCAUGGUGGGUGCACGUGCGCCUCCACAUAAUUGAUUGCAACAUGCACGCUCGCCAGGCCCUCGCUAACCACCUGAACCAUCUGAACCACCCUGCAGGCUGCGCUGGAUGGCGCCAUCGAGCUGGUGAGUGCGGCUGUGGAGUACUCGCGCUGCCGGGACCAGACCUUCCGCCGCUGCUGCGCCCUCGGCGAGCCGCUCCCGGAGAUGCGAGGUGAGCUGUCAGGCAUUAUAGUCUCCUGGCACAGCUCCAGUGAGCAUUGCUCGCCGACAGGACAUUGUAGCCAUCAGUAGCCAUCAGUAGCCCAGCGUGGGUAGUAGUUGCAGGAUAACUCGCUCGCCUCAUUUGCGCCGCCGCCGCGCACCUGCCCUGCUGGGCUUUCGCCUGCCCGCUGCAGCGCCCCGGUACACCAGCCCGCUCCUUCGAGGCAUGGAGACACCGCAGCGAUGGUGGGAGCAGGACCCUCAGUGCGGCACCAAGCACCUGGAGCACCUGCGCUCACAGCUCGCAGGGGUCAAGGACGCACUGAGCUCGAUGGGGCUGUGGCCGGCCGUGGCCGUUGCGGCGGCAGACCUGUUCGGCCCCACGGCUGCGCCACCGCAGGUCGGUUGUUUGAAAAGGCAGGGCACGAGGUAGACGCAGUGCAGGUCGGUGUGCUGUGCCUCCUCGUCAGUGGACUGGGCGGUGAUGGCAAUUGCAUACUGUCCACACCUGUGUAUGUAGACACGGAUCCAGCAGACAAGGCUGUAGAUAGGACCGCCAUGUGUACAUGGCUACUUUCAUGCAUGACUAGGUACACUCGCCUGGUUUGCCCACAGCCGGCCACACUGCUGCGGCUGCUUGACUCCGAGGAGGGUAGCGCAUGGCCGCAUCUGCAGCAGCGCAAGCGCUUGCGGCGGGGCCGCGACAACGAGCAACGUCCGGUGCCACCUGCUGCUGAGGACGUGGACAGCAGUGACAGCGACUGCGAAGACGAGGGAGACAACUUGCCGGCGGAGCACAGCAGCAGUGCGGCCGGCGAGGGCGAGGACGAGGGGGACGAAGCGGACGAGGCCACCCUGUGGGGAUACCAGAUAGGCGAGCUGCUGGAGGAGGGCGGCCUGGGUGACGGAAGCGAGGCGUCCAGGUGGGAAUGGCGUGCGGGGUGGGGGGCGCCGUGCUCAGUUGUGUGUGUGUGAGUGUGUGCGUGCGUGCGUGCGCGCGCGCGUGCGUGCGUGCGUGCGUGUGUGUGUGUGUGUGUGUGUGUGUGUGUGUGUGUGUGUGUGUGUGUGUCUGUGCGUGCGUGCGUGCGUGCCUGCGUGCAUGUGUCGUGUGUGCGUGCGUGUGUGUGUGUCUGUGUGUUUAAAUAACGAAACGAAAGCCCGCCCAGACGACGCCGAAGUUACUUACCGAUACCCACCAUUUUUACCGAGCGUCGCGUGACUGUCGUGACCCAGGUAGUCAUACUUACCCGCGAUGAGCCUGGAACCCCACGCACGGGCGACCAUUCGGCCUGACCCCGAUAUGCACCUGUAUGCGUGCGUCCAUGCUCCGCACCCUGGGCGCGCUAAACAACGUUUACCCAGCACGCCUAAUUCCCAGAUUCCCGCCCGCUGGUCGUAGUCGAGCUCACCUGAUGGUGAACGCUGUGUCUGUGUGUGUGUGUGUGUGUGUGUGUGUCUGUGUGUGUGUUCUUGCGUGCGUGUGUGCGAUGCGAUGCGUGCGUGCGUGUGCGUGUGCGUGUGCGUGUGUGCGUGUGCGUGUGCGUGCGUGUGCGUGCGUCUGUGUGCGUGCAUGCGUGCGUCCGUGCGUGCAUGCGUGUGUGUGCGUGUGUUAAAACACGAAACGAAAGCCCGCCCAGACGACGCUGGAGUUACUUACUUUGUGUGCGUGUGUGUGUGUGUGUGUGUGCGUGUGUGUGUGUGUGUGGGGGGGUUGCCAGGACAGUCUGCGUGAUCCGUCCAGAACUGUGCCCCUCGUGGCGCCCCUAUACAUUGACCAGCCCCAUUGCGUUUUAACUUGUUUUAGCGCUGUGCGCAUUGUGCCACGCACACCCACUGGCUGUUGGGUCCCUCCCACACUCACAACACACGUCCACGUCCAUGCGCACUUACCGCGCAUCUGCAGCAUCGCCGACCACCGCGACCGCGCCGCACUGCUGGUGUCCGGACUGGCCGUCAUGCUGCCGCCAGCGCUGAGGGAGGCAGUGCUGGCCACGGCGUCGCCGACAGAGCAGCAGCAGCAGCAGCAGCAGCAAGCGGAGGCUGGGGUGGGUGGCGGCGGCUGGACCAUUGAGGCGCGGGCGGUGCAGUUGGCAAUGCUGGCCGCGGCCGUAGUGCUGACGGAGCUGGUUUGGAGGGAGCGGGAGCCGGGGUCGGCAGCAGGGUCCGGCAGCGGACAAGGAGACCUGGCGGGGGCGGCGUUGCUUCAAGGUGCGCGGGCCGCUCAUCGUCCCGACCAGUGCAUGGACAGAACUGCUGGCACUACUCUGGGCUCUGGAGUACUGUAUUGCAGACGACACCUGCACCUGGCACCCAAUAGUGCUGUGGCCUCGUAUUGUGUAGCUAGCGGGUUUCUAAGGGAGCCGCAAUACGUCCACAACUAACUCUUUCUUGAGAUCUGACAACUAUCUGAUUAGUAUACGGUAUGUUCGGCGGCGAUACAACACCUCGCAGGGUUUGCGGCCGUGUUUUGCCCGGGCCAAAGCACCGCGACGCCAGGGCCACUGCACCCGCAGCUGCACCCGCUCGCGGCUCGCGACCGUGGCGAUGCCCAGCCGUGGGCGGAGCUACUGCUGCGUGCGGUGCCGCUCAACAAGCUACAGCAGCAGGUUCGAAUUGUGCGCGGCUGGGGGUAAUCGUUUGCAUUGUCGCCGGGUGCGUGCCCUUCCCUGUCGACAAUCUAUCGCUUCGAUCCGCUGUCUCCCUGCUGCACCACCAUUGCAGGUGUUGGGCCAGGACCUGCCUUCAAGGCCUGCGGCAGCCGCUACGGCUGCGGUUCCGCUGGCUGCUGUCGUCGGCGUGCCGCUGGUGACUCCGGCGGUGCAGUGGGUGGUGCGCUCGCUCCUGGCUCUGAGCACCCAGCGGCACCCAGCAGACAGCGGCGGUGAUGGUGUCAGUGUGUCUUCCGGCUGGUCGGCCAUGGUCUUCUGCCAGCGCAAAGUGAGAUGCGCGCACAUUCCAGCUAUUCCAGCAAGAUACUCGACGCAACGUUUAUGCUCCAUUCGUUCGCUCGCCCACUUGACGCUGCUGCUGCUGCUGCCCCCGCACCCACCUACGCCUGCUGCAGGUGGCCUGUGUGGCGCUGCACCGGCUGCUGACGGAGCUGCCGGCCGCACGUGGCGGCGCCAUCCGCCCCGCCGUGUUCAUGGGCAACACGGGCGCAGGACACAGCGCCAGCAGCCUGGCCAUGGACGGCAGGGUGCGUGUCUUGUGUGUGUUUGUGUGUGUAUGCGUGUGUGUGUGUGUGUGUGUGUGUGUGUAGUAUGUGUAGUUUAUGUGUGUGCGUGAUGACGUAAACUAUGCAUACAUGUACGUGGCUGGAUGGAGAGAUCAUGAAUAUCAAGCAAGCAAGCGGGUGCACAAAGCGUGUACAGCAUAAUAUUGCACGCUAAUGGCAUUUUGGGCGCAAGAAGGGCUGGCAAAUUUCUUAUCAAACACCUACGUGCCCCCGCGCACCACACCGCGCACCGCCUGGCCUCCCUACAGAAGCAGGAGCGUGUGCGGCGCGCCUUCAGCUCGGGCGCGCUUAACGUGCUCAUUUCCACCAGUGUGGGCGCUGAGGGACUGGACUUCCGCACCUGCAACGCCGUCAUCAUGGUCGACCCACCCGACCACGUCACGCCCUUCGUGCAGUGCGCAGGCCGCGCACGCGCCCCUGGCUCGUGCUACCUGCUGUUUGCGCGCGACGACCGGCAGCAGCAGGCCAUAGCUAAGCGCUCUAGGUAAUGUAUGGUUGCGGUGCGUGGUGGUAGUGGGGGGGGGGCGAGAUUAUUGUAGAUACCAGCUCAAAUCUAACCGAACCCAAUGUUUAAUGGACUAGCGGCUCAUAUAAAUUUGGGCUAGGCCGGCUCCAGUUUGCGGUAUGCUACCUCGCAGGGGCUGCUGUGACAUGGCUGGCUCACACGACAAUACUUAUAGUGUGCUCUCACAUGCCCAGUGAUUUACCUAGAUUUAUCCAAGCGACAGGCUGCACUCACGUGCACUUGCACAUGCACAUGCGUGUAGGGAAGAGGCCGACAUGGUUGCUAAGGCGCUGAAGCUGAGCACUGCGGCCGCGCGUGAGGCGCAGCAGCGGCAGCAGACGGAUCCGCCCGUCAACCCGUUCUUCAGCCAGGACGUGGACGUGGUCACGGAGGAGCUGCAGCAGAACCUGUUUAGAGUGCCGCACACGGGUGCGUGUGUGUGUGUGUGUGUGUGUGUGUGUGUGUGUGUGUGUGUGUGUGUGUGUGUGUGUGUGUGUGUGUGUGUAUGAGGGCGUGCAGGGGGCGUGGUGUGUGGGGACGGCAUGAGCGCGUGCAGCAUUGGGUUUUUGGAAGACGAGGAGAGCAGAGGGGUGUAGGGUUCUUGGCAAAGACAGCAGUUUCAGCAUCACUGCCUGGCGCCAGCUGGGUUUCGGGACAGGUUACCUGCAGUUCCAUGUAUGCAUACCUACAUACGUACGCAAUGCCGGGUGUGUGUGCAGGUGCGGUCAUGUGCGGCCCCCUUGCGCAGAACCUGCUCGAGUCCUACUGCCGCACACUGCCGGGCAAUUCGGGGUGAGUUCGCACGUGUGCGGCAGUGGUGCCACUGCUGCGCUGCAGGUAGCUAGGCAUGCCCCAGCACUACUGCCACCCCAUGAAGCAAUCGCGGAUUAACAACUUGUGAACGCUACCCAUACAAGCGGCUGGUCCCAUGUGGCCGAAUAAAUAAAGUUCACCAUGAUAUACCGUAUGCCCCCCUCGCGCGUUUCGGCGCCUAUCUACCCUGCUGUGCGUGCAGUGAUGUGCUGCUGCAGCCGUACUACUCGUACCAGGAGUACGAGAGCCCUCUGACCCGCCGAAAGGCGUUUGUGGCGACUGUGCACAUGCCGGCCAACAGCCCAUUGGGCGUCGUGGAGGGGCCGAUGCAGAGCAACAAGGGCGACGCGCGGCAGGUGGGCAAGCUGGUGGUGUUGGUGUUGGUGUUGGUGUUGGUGUUGGUGUUGGUGGUGCUGCUGCUGGUGGCACAUGGCGUAUGGAUGCAGCUUAUGCGUCGUCAUCCGCCCUGCAAACGGUGUUGUGCUGAACAUGAGCAUGUCUUUUGCCAUUUUGCAUAUCGCAACGCCGAAGUAGCUCACAAACCAUACACCAUCACCGCUGUCGUGCCACCCCCCAGCACGCCUGCAUGGCCACUGUACGGCGGCUGUACGAGCUGGGUGCGCUGGACGAGCACCUGCUGCCCAGGUUCACUCGGCGGGGCCGCAUGCGCGAGGCGCAGCAGCAAGACCUGCGUGAGUGGUUGCUCUAGGGGGAGGCCUUCAUUGGUUGUGAUGCCAGUGCUGCUGUGGCCGGAGAGAUUGUGGACGCGGCAGAUAGACCAACGCCUUAUCUGCCGCUCUGUUCAUUUGUCCUCUAGGGAUCACGUAUGCGCAACCGACCAUGUACUGGCGUGACGCGUAGUAAUGCACAUUCUUGCUGCAGUGGAGCACAAGGCCCUGCCGCGUGUGGCGCUGUCACACCGGCUGCCCGCCGCGCUGCAGCCCGCCGCGCUGCUGCCCGCCGCGCUGCUGCCCGCCGCGCUGCUGCCCGCUGCACCUCAUGCUGCACCGGCGGCAGACGCGGCUGGGCCGGCAGGUGGACCGCCGGCCAGCAGCCAUGUGCGCGGGGAGCUGGUGGGCCUCCUGCACCUGUACGCCUUUAGCUGCACAACGCCAUUCGCCAGCACAGGUGGUGGAGGCGCCGCCACUGCUGCUGCAGCUACGGGCCGCACCCGCCAUCGCUUCGGGGUAGUGUUGCACCGGCGUCUGCCUUGCGACCUGCCGCCCUUCACUGCCUACCUGCCGCCCGAGGACGACAGCGAGGCGGCUGACGGUGGGCACCACAGUGGGCUAGAUAGUGUGCAUACAUUGGAGUGGUCCAGCCAGCAAGAGUAUGCUGAUAGAUGUUGACCGGGAUCCCGGGUGCAUAGAUAUCGGACCGUUGCGUGCGCGAUCCUUUGUUGCAGCAACGAACCUGGUCAAGCCCUUUCCCUACCUGGUACCGGGGUGAUCUGCAGGCCCUCAAGGGCAGCAGCCGGCCCCGGUGGCUGUGCGCCUGGAGUACCUGGGCCCGCUGCGGCUCAGUGCGGCUCAGCUGGCGGCGCUGGAGACGGCGGGCGGCGUCAUGGAGUCGCUGCUAAUCACACGGGGGGCACAGCCGGUGGCGACCAGCAGUAGCGCAACCGCGGACAAGCCGGUUGCGGCACCUGGGCCCGCCUCAGCAGGGCCGGUUCCGGGCAGCCCCGCGCUGGCGGCCUGGUCGGAGCGACUGGGUCCGGGCCUGGCAGCGCUGCGGAGGGCCCUGGCGGCUGCGGGCAUCAAGACGAGUGCAGCCUAUGUGCACGAAGCCGUCAAUAAUGUGCCGGACCGCAUGAACAGCACCGCAGGUGAGCCUGCCACCGCCGCUCAGCUACCGGCAUCUGGCCACUGGUGGUGGCUAGUCGCUCCAUUGUCAGAGCAGACUCAGGCUGCGUCCUCGCAGACUGCCGGUACCGAAGCUGCGGCGGCCGGUGCAGUAGACUGGGGCUUCCUUGCGCGUCUGGCGGCGGGCCCGGUGCCGCUGCAGGCUCUGUGCCCCCAGCUGCCGGCCCUGCGCCCUCUGGCCCAGCAGCCUGCACAAGGCCACCAGCAGCAGCGGCAGCAGCUCCUUCCCGCCGCAGCCACCGGAGCGGACGUCGGCAGUGUCGGGCUGCACGGCCAUCGGCAGGCAGCGGCACCUGGAGGUCAGCACGUGGAGCUGCUGACGGCGGCUGUGCGGGAGGCUCUGCGGGGCAGUGGCGGGCUGCUCAUCACACAGACGGGUGCCACAUUGCACGCACUGCGGGGGCUGACAGCCGUGGCCGAGCAUGAUGAGGCCGGGACCGGCAGCCGGAAGGCUGCGCAAGAUGCGGCGCGGCUUGUUGAGUAAGUGCUGCAUCCGCGUAUGUUCUGGAAUGGUGCUGGGCGAUAGAUAGCCUAGGUACACCAAAGGUACCUGUGUGAAUGAGCAACAUGGCCUAUCGGAUGCCUACCGGCAUCUAUCAGCUGCUGACCGCCAACACGCCAAUGCUACUUUCCACGAUUGUGUUGCCAUAAUGCCAAUGACUGCUGCUGUGUGCCACAUCGCUCCCCGGCCUUGUACCCAAUGCUUGGUCUCAUGCCUUGCCCUUCAGGCGCUGGGGUGUCGACCCUUCCUGCCUCCUGCCGGAUCAGCCGCAGGUGCUGGUGGAUGCAGGCACAGCCACCCGCACCGCCUCCAAUGUGCUGCUUGCACCGCCGCAGCCCGAACACCAUCCACACUCGCACCACGGCGCUGAGGAUGGCAGCCGUGAAGCGGCAGCAGUGAUAUCGAUGCUGCCUCAGGCGCUGGCGGUGGCGCCGCUGUCUGUGCGCUGCUGGCGGGCGCUGCACCGCACGGUCAGCCUGGUGCACCGGCUGGAGGGGCUGCUGGUGGCGGCGGAGGCGGAGGAGGAGCUCCUGAGGCCGGCCGGGUACGUGGCGUGCGCAUUAAUCAACUGAGAGCUGCGCAAGAAGUAGCAGUAUGGAUGGUUAUAGGGGAACGUAAGGAGCGGCCAAGAGAGCGAGCUUAGAUGGGAGCUACCCAGGGCCCUUAGCCUGCCGAUGCUGCCUGACGCAUACAUGGGCCUGUACGCCUCCCUUACCGCAAUGCCACCCACAUGCGUGAUUACAGGUUUCUCCGUCCCGCAGCUACAGCUGCAGCAUCCGGUAACCCUGUGCUCGCAAUUCCCGUGCCCACGACCGCUCCUUCCACGUCAACCGCCACAACUGCCGCAGCCACGCCGCAGCAGGCGGCGGUUCUGCUUGCGCUGACUGCGCUCACCGCUCGCGCCGCCGCCGACCCCGCAUUCGACUGCGAGCGGCUGGAGACCCUGGGUGACGCCGUGCUCAAGUACCUGGCCACGCUGUACGUCUACGGCACAGAGAGGUGAGAGGGCCGGGCUUGGAUUUUACGUGUGCCUGCUGCAUCUGUCCUGUCUUACAUUUGAAGUCGUUUGUACGGCCCUCGGUGAUGGGCGUUGUGCGAGCGUGCCUUGCCCAAGCUAUGCCGUGGAUGCAACCCACGGCCAGGCACCACGGAAGCUGGACUGAUGCGUGCCGUGGCUGGACGUCUUGUUUUCAAUUUACCACGAACACGGUGCCGCAUCCGGCACCACCUUGCCACCGCAGGGAUGUGCCUGUGAGCCACGAGGGCGUCAUGUCGUACAAGCGGGACCAGCUGGUGGCCAAUGAGGCGCUGUACGGCAGGGCGCUGGAGGCGGGGCUGCAGCACCACAUGCGCGCCCUGCCCUACGACAUGGAGCGCGUGCUGCGAGGCCGCCACUGGAACACAGGCGAGGAGGCGGCGCGAGCACAGGUGAGUCAUUGCCGGUGCGCUCCCGGUCUCGCGUUGGGCUACGCUUUGCCGGGUCCGCAUCCACUCCUUCCAGGUCCAACACGGUAUGGGCUCCAGAUCAAGCCGAUGUGUUUCUAUACUUCAUGCGAACCUGAUUGUUAGUGGUACCCCCGCCCAUGCAGGAGGUGCGCGGCAAGCGCCUGGCCGACUGCGUGGAAGCGCUGGUGGGCUGCCACCUGGCGCCCGGCGUGCCGACUGCUGGCAGCAGCAGCAACAGCAAUGACGCGCAGGCCACCUCACCGGGCUCGGCCUCAGCCCCAGUGCUUGUCCCUGUCUCUGCCACCAAUCCAGUGCCAGGGGCUCCAUGUCAGGACGGCAGUGCUCUGGCCGCCCUCGUGGCGGCACUGCGCCAGACCUGCGCGCCUGCCAGCGGUCACACGGGCGUCACCGACCCCAGCAGCAAUAGCGGUGACGUGCACGCCCGCCUGGACGCCGCGUUGCGCUUCUGCUGCGGUCUGGGGGUGCUGCCUGGGGCCGCGCCGGCGGUGCUGCAGCGCCUGCACGCCGAGGGGCAGGGCGGCGCCGGCGAAGGCGCUGUGCAGGGGGUACCCGAUGUUGGCGGCGAAGCGGGCCGGGCUGCAGUGGGGGCAUUGGCGGCGGCGACGGGAUACCAAUUUCAUGACCCUGCGCUAGCGUUGUGCGCUCUCACGCACGUGAGCUGGCCCGUGCCUCCUGUGUCAAGUUCAGGGAAAGGGUUGGAUGCAGGCGCAGGAAGCGGUGGCGGCAGUGGUGGGCACUACCAGCUGCUCGAAUUCCUGGGUGACGCAGUGGUGGGGCUGCUGGCGUCGCUGUGGGCUUACAGGUCAGGACGGGCCGCAGGGGCUCAGUAGAGCAACUAGGAUCUACAAACUCCGGGGCCGUCAGGCGAGCAGCAUCUGAAAGCGUGCGGGGUUUGCCUAUCGAUUGCCCGUCGGCGCAUGCCCAUGCCUUUCCCGGAUCCUUGCCUUUCCAACAGUCCUGGCCUAUCUGCCGCACGAACACCCUGUGCAUUGCGGUAUGGAGCUCCCCUCAUCCACUCACACUCAAUUGCCACUGCCACCUUCCUUUCUCCUCAUAGCCUGGGCGGCAGUCCCCGCGACAUGAGCAUGACCCGCGAGAUGCUGGUGCGCAAUGACACACUGGCCGCCUGUUGCCUGGGCAGCCGCCUCAGCACAGCGCUGCGGGUGCGACACCGGCAGCUGCAGCUCGCCAUCGAGGAGUACGGCGUUGCACUGCUAAUGUCGUACGACACCACCAGUGGCCGUGCAGAUGCGGCGGCAACAGGCGGCGGUGGCCCUCUGAUUAGGGCUGAAAUGUGGAAGGAGGCGAUGGCGGCGAGAGACCUGCGGGUCGCGACGCUGCUGCAAAGCGCGUGGCUGGAGGUCGAGGGCGGCGGUACUGGGGAGGGUGAGUGGCAGUACACGCCCUGGAGUCGGACCGGACGUGGCAGCAGCAGCGGUGGGGGCGACGGCAGCCACAAGGGCAUGGCCAGCAGCGGCAGCAGCAGUAGCAGCAUCGAUGGUACUGAUAGCGGCAGCAGCAGCAGUAGCAGCAGCAGCAGUAGCGCCGUCGCUGCCCCUCGCGCGCCCAAGGUGCUGGCUGAUGUGGUGGAGGCGGCACUGGGCGCGAUCUGGCUGGACAGCGGCGGCGACCUGGCGGUGUGCGAGCAGGUGGGCGGGCGGGCAUGUGUGUGUGUGUAUGUGUGUGUGUGUGUGUGUGUGUGUGUGUGUGUGUGUGUGUGUGUGUGUGUGUGUGUGUGUGUGUGUGUGUGUGUGUGUGUGUGUGUGUGUGUGUGUGUGUGUGUGUGUGUGUGUGUGUGUGUGUGUGUGUGGCAAGUGAGCAGGUGUGUAGCCGUAGUACAGAUGGAUAGGGCAUGGCCAGCUAGCGCUUGCACCAAUGGAGCGGCAGCGGGCUCCGGCGUAUUUGUGGUUGUGGAUAAUUCAACUGCAGGCCUCUCAUCUUGAAACCACUUUAACAGCCAUUCUUCGCGGGGUCGAGUGUCUGGGGCUAGUCAGGCUUGGCCUGGGUUUGAGGUGCAUUUUACCCGGAUUCCCACGGGGAAGCCACGCCCUGUAGGGGGCUCGCAGGACACACUGGUAUCAUCCACCAUCAUCAGCCUAGAGCUUCUUGGUAGGGGUGCGGAGGGGCACACAAACCGCCCCUGUUGCUGGCAUGCAGGCGUUCAGGCGGCUACUGAUGCAGCACCCGGGGGCGGCCUCCACAGAGGCAGGCGUGCAUAUGGACUCAGCGGUGGCGACUGUGACUACCGCUGCACGCCGAUGGCAGGUGAUGGCCAGGGCUGUGCCAUCCAAGCAAGCACGUGCAGCCUUGCCUCUCGUUGGCCCGGCCUCUGUAUGGGGCGGGCCCGCUGCAGCGCCACCGCAGCUCUGGCGGCACGGCAGCAUCCCUCAUCACACCGCUCAGCUGUCGCACGUGGCCAGGCACGUGCGCCCUGGCUCCUGCAUGCUGGCUGCUGGUGGCAGUGGCCAUGGGGGCAACGGUGCAGCAGUGCGAGGCAGCUGGCUGCGCGUCCGCAGCGCAAAUGUGCCCGUUGCUCGGGUGGCGCGCGUUCUGGCGUAGGCGCUUGUCCUAUGCUGGAUAAGUACGGGCGCGGAUUAGGGGAGCUGACGGGGUGAGGGGGCUUUAUUCCCCAUUACCCGCCUGCUACCAAGAGCAUGUAUGGUGAGCACUAGGCUCUAGGUGGGCGCCGGUUUACCCGGCUUUCGAUGUGUUGAGGGGCUGCCCUCGUUUGGUCGGACGGCGUUGUACGGACAAUGUCGUUGAGGGCGGAAACGGCAAGGUCGUGGAGUGUAAUGCAGCAGGCAGAGGCAGCCGCAGAGCGGACGCCUAGUUUGUGUAGCAGCGUGGGGAGGUCGGCUCGUAUAGAGCCAGCAAAACCCAGGCUAAUGGCCUCUUGCUUGGUGUAUUUGACGUCCCAUCCUGCCCUGCAUAGGAGGCGGGCGAGCUUAUUAUGUUGCUUGGCCUUGGCGCAGGCUGUGGCUGUGCGGGCACAGUAGCCAAUUUCAAGGAUGUGGACUUUGUUGGGGCGGGGUUGUUGUUGCACAGUGUAACAAGAGGAUUGUCACCUAGGUUGACAAGGGAGCGAAUCUCCCGUGACACGCAGCAGCCAUUUUCGAGGAUGGGGAGUUUGUGUUGUGUCCUCUGCUGGGUGCAGGCGGGGUAUCGGGGUCCAAAAGAAUGGUGGGGAUUAGGUGAGGAUCCGGCCGUAGCUUUUUGCGAAGGCUGUCCGGGCAGUCCUUUGCUGACGCUAGCCAUCAUGAGCCGCCUUGGCAGCCUGUUGUAGGUUCAGUCCCAGUGUCUAGCUGUAGUCUGUAGAGAACAAGAAGGAGCUUGUCCUGGUCAAGUAGGUGGCAGGGAGGUGAGUGUUAACCUACAGGAGGGUGGAAAUCAGUGCCGGUAUCUUGUAGAUGCCCUCAGGCCUGCGGCGUCUACAGAGCGUAGAUGACCUCCCGCGGCAUCUACGCCCUGGAAAUUUCCCUAUGGGUCUAGCCCGCAAACCCCCAAAACGUCGUAAGAUACCGCCAAACUGCGCCAAAAUGCCUACACUCCGUAGAAGCGCGCCCCCCAGGGGGGUCGAAUCUUCCAAAACAGACCCCAUACUUCAAAUGGAUAGAACUCAACGAGAAAAUCAUCGAAUCCGCUUUCAAAAUCGAAAAUGGGUUUCUGGGUGCAAAGUUAUGACCCCUCAAAGUGGCCGGUGUCGGUCGGUCGGGGGUCCCAAGAGGUUUUGCACAGGUUCGUGCCAAGUUUUGUUCCUAGCGCUUCUGUCCUGCAGCACGCGGCGCAAAGGGUGCAGCUCAACGAUGUGUGCGUAGGUAUACCCCAGACUCAGCACACGUGCAUAGUUUGGGGCAGUUUGGGGAGCGGCAUGUCGGCAUUUCGGGAGAUGCCUGGGGAACGGGUCAGGGACAGGCCGGUAUGGGACAAAGCUUCGGCCAUAGGCAGGGCUGUUAUACUCAUGGACAAGAGCUUACCCGGUCUCCUUCGGUGCUUGCUACAGGCUCAACCUACCGUACACGGGCGCCAACGCGGCUUUUUAUGAGCCAUCUAAAAUAGAAACUAUCUCGGUCCCGGUGAUGCUGUUUUUGCCUUUGUAAUCAGCCAUCAUGACAGGUGGCGGG
rnacentral:lncRNA from 1 species